UGCUUAGGCGCAGACUCAAAAUUUUGUGCAGAUGCCCAAUUUUACAGUGUUGUAAAACGUUUUAUAAUGCUGUAAAGUGCUCUUUGACGUCUCCGCCUGAGCAUGAUUAAUUUAAUAUAAUUUUAUUCGCUUUAACUAAUUUAAUAUGUAUAUUGUUUGCUUUGCAGAACGUAUUCGUUGCUGGAACGGACACAAGUGCAGCAACUGUGGUUUGGGCCAUGACCUACCUAACGAAGAAUCCUAGAGCAAUGAAAAAAGUUCAACUGGAAAUUAGAUCGUUGAUUGGGGGCAACAAAGGCUUUGUCAAUGAAGAUGAUGUUCAAGAACUACAUUAUCUUAAAGCCGUAGUGAAGGAGACAAUGAGAUUGCAACCUACAGUGCCGUUACUACUUCCAAGAGAAGCAAUUCAAAAGUGCAUAGUAGAAGGGUAUGAAAUACCAGCUAAAACACGUGUUUUUGUAAAUGCAUGGGCGAUAGGGAGAGAUCCUGAAGCUUGGCAGAAUCCUGAGGAAUUUUAUCCGGAGAGAUUUGUUGAUAGUUGUAUUGACUUUAAAGGGCAAAACUUUGAGUUAAUACCGUUUGGUGCUGGCAGAAGAAUUUGUCCUGGGUUGAAUAUGGGAAUUGUAACUGUGGAGCUUGCACUUGCUAAUCUUCUUUACAAAUUUGAUUGGGAAAUGCCGCCUGGAUUGAAGAGCCAUGACUUUGAUGUUCUGCCCGGACUUGCCAUGCAUAAGAAGAACGUUCUUUCUCUUCGGGCUAAGUAUCAUGUUGAGUAGUGUUAGAGUGCAAUUUAUGCACUAGUUUUGCAUUGUUUACUUCCCUUAAUAUCUAUGUUUUGCACCUAAUAAUAAUGAUUUACUUGUGUUUUACUUUUGUAGGUGCAAUUCUAUUGAUUGGUGGUAAAAUUGAGCUAAAAGAUGAUGUUUAAGGAUGAUUGUUCUCUUGGAGAAAUUAUGAGCGUCAGAAGAACUUUGUUGAUAAGGCGUGGGCGCGUGCUGUCAACUGCGGACCUGCAGUUUUUAGUUUAACGUGUUUUGUAUUUUUGGUUAUUUUUGUAAUUACGAAUUUAAUAUUCAGAUAUUAGUAUUUUAUUUUAAAUAGAAUUCUAAAAGAGAAGAGAGAGAGAGUAUUUAAGGGAGGAAUCUAUUGUGAAAAAGGGGGAUUUUGGAUUGGAGAAAAAGAAAGAAACCCUAGAUCUAAUUUUUCUCUUCUCUCUAUGAAGAACUAAACCUAUUUUUCUGGUUGAAGGAUAAUGAAGUUUUGAUUCAUCACUACUGUGAGAUCUUUCUUAUGCUUUAAUUGUUUUAGUACUUUUUGGGUAUUUGUUUAUUCUCUGAAUUAUUUUCAUGAUUAUGUUUGUUAAUUAGGUAAUUGGCCACUAUUUAAUUAUCAACUUAAUCUAUUGUCAAUUAAAGGAUUCAUCGUAUGAAGAAUUUAAUGUUUGUGACAAAUAACAUAGCAGAGAGUUGUGUUGUGAGAAUAAACAAUCUAAUUUAAAUGAAUCAUCAUAUGUGUUAAUUAGGAUUUGGGUCUCUCUGAUUUUUCAGGCUGUCAAUUGAUUAAAUCCUAUGAUCGUAUCUAGGGUUGUCUAUUGUUUAGGGAAAUAUCCAACGGUCGUACCUUGGUUAUUGACUAGAUAAGGAGAGAUUGGCUAUUAGAGGGUCUCAAUAGUUAUAACCGGUCUAUUCAUAAGUAAUAAUAAUCUAUAUUUGAAUCAAUGAUCAGUAGUCGAAUCAAGCUUAGUUAAUUCCUUCAACCAGAGCUUUCUCCAAUUUGAAUUACAACUUUAAUUUGCAUUCUUGUUAUUUAAUUUGAUUUUUAUUAUUGUCUACAAUUCCCCCAUUUUACGUUUUACGUUUCAAAAGGAUUUAAAUAAUUACCGAUCUCUGUGGACACGACCCUGCUCAAUCACUAUACACAAUUUAUUUAGAGUAGGAAUUUAUUUUUGUUGGCUUCGACACCCAUCAAGUAGGUAAAUUAAGGCACCUCUAUCAAUAAGAAGGUAAAUUAAGGCACCUCCAUUAAUAAGGGUUUGAUCUAGCUAAAGGAAAUAUAUGUUAUGCGUCCUUAAUUGUGCUUCUCAAUGUUUUAUUUCUUUCUUCUUAUGUAUAAUGGAUGUUUACGCGAAUGGUUUUUAGUAAGUAAUUUUCUUUUAGUUCAAAAUUUUGGGAGGUAAGGGCUAGAAGAUAAUAGGGACUCUGCCCACUCUCUUAUACCUUAAAAAAAUGAUAUGAAUGUCAGUAUCAAUUUAUCACGUUUAUUUUGUCUUACAUUUUUCUCUCUUGUUCGCUGUUCAGUAAAACUAAAACAACACCAAAACUUAAAUAUUUUCGCUAUAUCACAAACAGCUUUUCUUUUCUUNNNNNNNNNNNNNNNNNNNNNNNNNNNNNNNNNNNNNNNNNNNNNNNNNNNNNNNNNNNNNNNNNNNNNNNNNNNNNNNNNNNNNNNNNNNNNNNNNNNNNNNNNNNNNNNNNNNNNNNNNNNNNNNNNNNNNNNNNNNNNNNNNNNNNNNNNNNNNNNNNNNNNNNNNNNNNNNNNNNNNNNNNNNNNNNNNNNNNNNNNNNNNNNNNNNNNNNNNNNNNNNNNNNNNNNNNNNNNNNNNNNNNNNNNNNNNNNNNNNNNNNNNNNNNNNNNNNNNNNNNNNNNNNNNNNNNNNNNNNNNNNNNNNNNNNNNNNNNNNNNNNNNNNNNNNNNNNNNNNNNNNNNNNNNNNNNNNNNNNNNNNNNNNNNNNNNNNNNNNNNNNNNNNNNNNNNNNNNNNNNNNNNNNNNNNNNNNNNNNNNNNNNNNNNNNNNNNNNNNNNNNNNNNNNNNNNNNNNNNNNNNNNNNNNNNNNNNNNNNNNNNNNNNNNNNNNNNNNNNNNNNNNNNNNNNNNNNNNNNNNNNNNNNNNNNNNNNNNNNNNNNNNNNNNNNNNNNNNNNNNNNNNNNNNNNNNNNNNNNNNNNNNNNNNNNNNNNNNNNNNNNNNNNNNNNNNNNNNNNNNNNNNNNNNNNNNNNNNNNNNNNNNNNNNNNNNNNNNNNNNNNNNNNNNNNNNNNNNNNNNNNNNNNNNNNNNNNNNNNNNNNNNNNNNNNNNNNNNNNNNNNNNNNNNNNNNNNNNNNNNNNNNNNNNNNNNNNNNNNNNNNNNNNNNNNNNNNNNNNNNNNNNNNNNNNNNNNNNNNNNNNNNNNNNNNNNNNNNNNNNNNNNNNNNNNNNNNNNNNNNNNNNNNNNNNNNNNNNNNNNNNNNNNNNNNNNNNNNNNNNNNNNNNNNNNNNNNNNNNNNNNNNNNNNNNNNNNNNNNNNNNNNNNNNNNNNNNNNNNNNNNNNNNNNNNNNNNNNNNNNNNNNNNNNNNNNNNNNNNNNNNNNNNNNNNNNNNNNNNNNNNNNNNNNNNNNNNNNNNNNNNNNNNNNNNNNNNNNNNNNNNNNNNNNNNNNNNNNNNAUGAAAGUGCCUACCACUGGAGCAAGAAGAAAUUUUCAGUAAAUUAUAAAUUAAAUAAUUAUGAAAGGAUUGAUUUUUUCUAAAGGUUUUACUAGGUGCAACAAUAUUGAAUUACCUUAUUUAACUUAAAAGAUACCAUUGAUUGAUUACAGCAUAGAUAUAACUUACGAUAUCUUAAACUCUAUAAUAUUUAUGAUCCCAUUCUAUCUUAUACACAAACUUGAAACUUAUGUUAAUUAAGUCUCAACUAUUUUAAUCAUUCUCAUUGAAUCAAUUUAGAGAUUGAUUAUCGAACUAGCUGGUAUUUUAUAGUUAAGUAUUUAAAGAAAUAAUAUCUAUGAUUGAUCAUAAUUAUUGUUGAAUCAAUUUGGAGACUAGCUAAUUUUCAAAUUAAUGUAAUUAUCUAGUGGUCAAUUUUACUAAAUAGAGUCUAAUAGUUUUCAUAAUUGUGGAACAUGGAACGUAUACUUCAUACUUAAAACUUAUUGCAUAUAUUAAAAAAAUUAGAUGAUUAGUAAUUAACAUUUAAUUAUAGUUGAAAUAUUGAUUAUUAAAUUAGUCUAAUUGUCUAAGAACAGUCAUACAAUUAAUUUCAACAGAUAACAAGAACUAUUGCAAUAAUUUAUUUAUAUUUUGAAACAUAUCUCAACUAUGAAUUAUUAAAACUAAUAUAGCUUCUUAGUUUUUACGCCAAUAUCUAUUUUCGUCUUUUGUUUAUCUUAUUAAUUUAAAUUUAAAAUCUAUGUUAAAGAUGUUCUAUCAAUCAAUUUACGCUAUUGCAUUAAUGAGAUAAAAUUGUUUUGCAAUUAAUCGAAUCGUAAGCUAAUAAUUUUCAAUAUUUAUUAUUAUUUCAAUAUUUAUUAGUGUGAAAUAACUAACUUAGGAUAAAUAAAUAAAUAGAUUGAUUUUUUCUUAAAUUUUAAUAUCUUGUAUUAUCCCUAUUAACUAUUUGGUCCACUUAAUUACUAUAAUGCCCCAUAAAUAACAUAUUUUUUAUUGCAUAACUGAUUAGAACUAAUAUUUUUUCGACUGUAAUUUAUUUAUUUUAAACCGUUUUUACCCCUAAAAAAUAGUGUAUUUGUAAUGGUAAUUAGUUAGUUGAAAUUGAUCUUGCAAAUACAACUGCUAUCGAAAAUACUCUUUUCUACUACUUAAGGUGAUCAUAAAUAUUAAUCAUUAGUCACAUGUCCAUACUAGUUUUCAAUCUAUAUUUAUGUACUUAUGAUCGUCAAUUUAUCACCAAAUAAGCAUAUUUAUGGCGGCCUAUUGGAAAAAGUGUAUUUCUAACCUGGGUAUUAGCGAUUACCAACGACUAAUUAAGGCCACUGGAAAAACACAUUUUCAACAGCGUAACACUUGUUUCAAUUGUAUUCAGCAGUCUUAAAAAAUUAUUUUUAUGACCAACUGUAGUUGCCUGGCGAACAUAUUUACCACACAUAAAAACUAAAACAUCCGAGAUUUUUCUUUAGAUACUUCUAUAGAUAUUUUAACAUUUUAGAUUACAAUAUUUUUCAACACUUGAUUUUAUCAUUAAUUGUUGACUAUGGUGACGACAAAAAAUCUAUUUCAUUGUGCUAACCUCACAAGUGAAAAGGACUUCACAAGAGUACAAAACAGAGCCUUGAUCUAAUAAUAUUACCGAAUAUAGCAUUUUGUUUCCUUAUAAAUGCAGAGAGGUUCUGUCUUUGCAGUGAUUAAGGCAAGGGCAUAAAAGAUAUUAAUGGCUUUACUUAUCGUCAUCAAUCUCCUUCUGUGUCUCUCAAUCUUCGCCGUCUUCUUUGUUUUGCAAAGGCACAUAACCUCCAGAAAUAAUACUAAAUUACCACCAGGCCCGCAGGGCCUUCCCUUCGUUGGUAACUUACACCAGCUUGAUGUUUCAAAGCCUCCAGUGUCAUUUUGGGAACUGUCAAAAAAAUAUGGGCCCCUCAUGUCCUUGCGUCUUGGUUUUGUGCCAUCCCUAGUAGUUUCCUCAGCAAAAAUGGCUAAAGAGAUAUUAAAAACCCAUGACCUUCAAUUUUGUAGCGGGCCAGCCUUGGUAGGACAACAAAAGCUUAUCUUACAAUGGUCUAGAUUUGGCUUUUUCACCCUAUGAUGAAUAUUGGAGAGAGAUAAGAAAAAUUUGUGUCAUUCAUCUCUUUAACUCUAAUAGGGGACACAAUUUUCGGCCCAUAGAGAAGAUGAAGUUUCAAGAAUGAUUGAAAAGAUUUCAAAAUUAGUUGUUGCUUCUAAGCCCGUAAACUUAAGUGAGGUAACGAUGUCUCUUACUAGCACCAUUGUAGUGAUUGAACGUGCUUAUAGGCUUGCAAGUGACAACCACUUCCCAGGAUCUCUAAUCAGGUUUUAACAAGUUGCACAAUGAGAAGAUUAAACCCAGAAAGAAUCAAUUGACACAAGAAAAAUCUUCAGUGACAUAAAGGAUCAAGAAACUAAAGAGAACAGAAUCAAUCACAACCAACACAAAGAACAAUUACGUGGUUCAGUUGCACCAACAAUGGCACAACCUACACCCACGGGAGAAGCUUUCUGGAGAGCUUUUAAUGAACAACAAUGGAGGAUCUUUUACACAGCUUACACACAAGACUACAGAGAACAAUUUUUCCACUCUCUCUAAUCUCUCUCUUGAUUUGUUUUCUCACACAAUCGAAUCAAAACUGUUACAGCAGUCAGUUUUAUAGCUACCAGAGCAACAAACCAGCAGCCCAGAAUGCACAGCUUGUUGACACGUAGUAUAUCGGCUUUACCGAACUGGCCCAAGCAAGAUCACACGACCAUCACGUGUAUCAUCACUUAAAGUUUGGUUUAAACGACAUAGAGACACUGCCGUUUUGAAGCAUAGUAUUAGGGAUAGCAAUGGGGAGGGGAGGGGAGGGGACCAAUCUCCCCGUACCCAUUCCCGAUAUUUUGCGUAUGUCUCUGUCUUUUCCCCGUCUCCAUCAGAAUUACUUAAGAGAAUUCUCAUCUCCUCCCUGAAUAAUAAUAGGGGAUCCCUGAGGAUCCCCGAUCCCCGAAUAAUUAAUAUAUUUUUUUGUUUUCGAUUUGAGUUAAUCAUAUUAAAAUAAAAAAUUCAAAUAAAAGUAAAGUUCGAAAAAUAUCUUACAUUAAUAUCCAUUACAAAAGUCACAUACAUUAAAUUAGUAAGUAACGCAUCAUGCAAGGGAUACAAACUUCUUUUACAAACUAUCAUGAAUAAAUUAAUAGUCUAAUACAAAAUUGUUACAAAUAAAAUUGAAUUUAGAUUCAAAAUUAACUUUUUCAAUGGUGGCGUUGGCACUUUAUAAAUGUGGACUAUUCUCUUUACAACACAAUAGUUAAGUCGGAGCAAAUCAAGAGCAAAUAUUAGAUUAGAUAUUAAAAUUGUGAUUCGCUAUGGGCAAUUAUAACAUCUAAAAAUAAAUAAAAAAUAGAUUUAAGUUUAAAAUAUUUAAUGAAUAUUAAAAUUAAAACAAAAUAUUUGGUCUAAUAGAAUCUAUCCGGUCUUUUUAAUGUCCUAAAUAAAAAUUUAGGACUUUAAUUAGUAAAUUAGACCUAAAAGUUUAAUAAUAUAAAUAUUUUGAUAUUUGUUAUUUUUACCUAUUUUUAUAAUUUUAUAAUUCAAAUUUUAUUAUUUAUUUACUUGUAAUUUUAAAAAAUAACAAUAAAAAUUAAAAUUAAAAUUAAAAUGGGAAAAUGGGUAGGGGAUGGGGAUUCCACCUCAUCUUCAUCCCCUCCCCGAAUAAGAAAUUAGGUAAAAAAAUUUCUCUGUCCCUUGCCCGAAUAAGAAAUUGAGUAUGAAAUUAUUCUCAUACCCUCCCCGAAUAGGAAAAAUCUCCGAAAGUACCCGUCCCCAUGGGGAUUUUUGCCAUCCCUAAGUAUUAUUAAGCAAACAAACACGUGCUCUCCCCGUGAUCUUUAAUGCUCAUAAGUCAUAACGCACCAAAACGCUGCCGUUUUAUAUCUGACGGGUUUGAUUCACCAGCAGGCCUCACAACCAUUAUUUGUAGAAUUGGUUUUGGCAAGAGGUACGUGAAGAUGAAGCAACAAGUGAAAGAAGUAGAUUCCAUGCCUUGCUUGAUGAAACUCAAGCCUUGCUUGUAAGCUUCUUUGUUACAGGUUAUUUUCCUUUCAUAGGCUGGAUUGAUAAGCUCACAGGAAUGUUGCAACGCCCGCAAAAUAACUUCCAAGAAAUCGACAGUCUACCAGGAACUCAUAGACAAGUUUCUGGAUCAAAACUGAACAAAAAUAGAACAGCUGCAACAGGAGGAUGUAAUUGAUGUUUUACUUCAAAUACGAAAAGACCGUGGAUUUAAAGUUGAUCUGACUAUGGAUCACAUCAAAGUGCUCACGGUUGAUAAUUUUAUAAAUAGUUAAUUAUCUCUAAUUCAUGCUUAGGGGCGGACUCAAAAAUUUUGUGCAGAUACCCACUCUUACGGUGUUGUAGAACAUUUUACAACAUUUAAAGUGCUCUCUGAUGUUCCCAUCUGAGCAUAAUAUUUACUAAGAAAAACAUGUAUAUAUAGUUGACUGAAAUAGAAUUCAAGGAAGACAUUACAUAAUACGAAUUUGAUUUAUUUCGAUGGAGUUUGAUUAAUGAAAGUAUAUGAAAGUGUAAAGAAAGUGGUAAAAAAAUUUGGUUAUGUAAAAGUUAUAUAGGCAACAUAUUAUUGUCAUAUUCCUAUUAAGGUACAUUUGAUUGUGAUGAUUAUGCAAAUAAAAUAGAUCCAUAUAUGUCUUUAAAGAUGGUUUUGACUUAAACUCGUGGAGUGUUGAGAAGGAAAGAAAAAAAAAGUUUUGUACAAGAUAUUUUAGAUAAUACUACUGAAAAAUUAUAAAAUAUUUUAGAAAGUAUCUUUUACAAAGAAGUAUCUGAUUUUUUUUUUUAAAAAAAACAACAUUAUAAGUUUCUUAAUUGAUGAUACAUUUUUUAGAAAAGCCUCAUAUACGUCAUUUGGAUUUAAUUGUAUAUGAAGGGUCAGUUUAGUAAUACUGUAAUUUUUAAAAUAAUUGUUGUUAGUUCUGCUGUAAAAAUAAUCAAUUGUAAAAAAAAUCAAUUAACCGUUUAGUGAAAUUUAUUGUCAAAAGUGCUGUAAAUUUUAAAAAAUAGUCGUAUGUAUUUAGCAUAACCUAUAAACUUAUUUAAAGAUUUAUAAAUUUACAUAUACUAUUUUUUUAUUGUGUAUAUAUAAUAAGUGCUAAUUAAAAUAAAUAUUUUUAGCAAAAUUUUGAAAAGCCAAAAGUAAUUUUUUUUAAAAAAUGUUAAAUACCAAAAUUAACUUUUAAGUUUCAAAAUUAAUUUUAAGUCUUCCAAAACUAUUCAUUUUUGUCAAAACACGCUUACCAAGUUCCAAAAUCUUGUUCAACAAUGAUAUUCUCACAAAAGUGAGUACAAAGCUUAGUUCAACAAGGACCUUUUUGCAAAUUAUUUCAACGUUUUAUGCUCUUUUGGAAUUUAUGAAUUUUAUUGAUUUUGAUUGAUUGGAGCAUUUCUCCUUCCAUCUCUUCUACAUCUAUUCUUAAAUUUCUUCAAAGUUUUAACUACAUCUUUGUAAAGUUCUAAAUGAUUAUCUUUUUCAUAGAAAUCUACAUGUAAAUUAAUCCCUGAAUUUAUAAUCAUUAGUCUUCUUUGAGUCAUAGACCAUAUCUUUUCUUCUAACAUUUCUAUAUAUAUUCCUAAGUUAUCUUCCUAAUUUAGAUACAUUCUAUCAAAGCUUUCGCAUAUAAAUUGUAAUUUGAGGUCUGCAUCUUGUAUUAACAUCUCUAUAUUAUUAUUAUCCAUUUUUUAUACUCAAUUUUGAGUUCUAUUAUUAGCCUUGCACCUGUCCUGGAUUAUUUCGAGGGUAGAUAAAAUUAAUUCUAUUAAUGCUAUCCUGUUUUCUUCUUCAAAUGAAUCGAAUAUUUCUAGAUCAUUAAUUCCUUUUAUUUCUUCAUUGUUUGCAGUUAAUCUAGUUUUAACCACAGAAAUUGUAUAAGCAACUUGAUAUUCUUGACUAAAGUCUAAAUGAUCAAUUGCAUCUAGAAAUUUAUUAACAAAUCUUUCCAUUUUUAAGAAAUUGAGUUACUCUUAUCACUUCCUAUCUUAUAACAUCUCUGAAAGUAAACAAGGCCUAACAUGCUUCCAUUUGUGGCUAAAAUAAAAGAAGAGUUCAUAUCACUAACCAGUGUACUAUCUCUCAGAAUUUUAAAAUAGACUCACUAAUUACCGCCAACCAUAGAGAGAUCCAUGGUUGGCACCGCCAUAGCUCCACAAAUCAUACAAGAUCACUUCAGUGAUUGUUCCACACAGUCCAACGUAACACACAACAAACUGACCUAAUAGGAUAUGUCUAAGUGAUUUCCUUGCAGUUGUCUCUGGAAGAGUGCUUAGUAAUAGAAAAUCUUCUUCAUUUAGCACAAGUAUUGGCAUGUAAGUUUCCUGGUUAGUUUUCAAAGGAUAUAUAAGAUAUUUGGAAGAUGAUAAUUUCACUCAAAAGAGGUUUAUUUAUUUCAUUAUUGAAAUUGUUUACAGAUGAUGGUUACAGAGAAUACAAAGAUAGGUGAAGGUUAGACAUAUGAUGUAUUUUCCUUCUUACAUGUUUCUAUUUAUCCUCUUAAAGAGAUAAGGUUAUCUCUUUUACAUGACAUAUGUUUAAAUUUCCUAGUGGAUCGUGGAUUCCCUUUUGAUAAGGUGACCCCUCUUCUUUUUAUCAUUAAAGAUAGUGGUUGUCUUCUUUUUCUAAUGGCAGACAACUUUAUCUUGUUGUGGUGAGCUUUAUCUUUUUGAAAUCUUUCUUUUUGAAUUUUUUAUGAUUUUAGGAUAUCAUUUUUUAUCUUUUUCAAUGGGCCCUGUCACAUGUCAAUUAUUAGAUCUUCAUCUAAAGACAUUUCUUCCCCCAUAAGAAUCUCCUUUUGAUCCUUCAUCAUAGUAGCCACAUGAUGACUGAUACUUUAGCACCUUGCAUAUCUCGUGGUGCAUCUAGAGACAUGUCUUCUCCGCUAGAAUCUUUUUUUGAUCCUUCGUAGUAGUAGCCACAUGAUGACUGAUGCUUUAGCGCCUUGCAUACCUCAUGGUGUGUUAGUAAGCUGGAUUCCAUGAGAUUUUCGUAUAUUCUUUUUUUCUUUUUAAAUAUGCCAUGUCUGGCUAAAAUACUUUCUUUUCUACUCAUAGAAAAUAUUAUAUGCUCUUUUGUGGCUUCGUGAAGCCAUAUUUUCUCCUUACUUAUCUUCUUAAGAGAUUUAUAGAGGACUUUCAUUCCUAUGGUCCUUUUGCUAGUGAGAGCUUUGGGCUCGAAUAAUUCAGGAUGAUAAUCAUUGUAAACUUUAUUAUCAUUUUAAAUUUGUCCGAAAGUAUCUUUUUUACCAAUAAUGUUUGUAAAUCAAGAAAUAGUUAAAAUUCUGCUAGGUGAAAAUACAAGUUUGGAAUUUUAUUUUUGAGUGCAGACGAAUUUUAUUUUUUAAUUGUGGCUGAGUUAGGUAUAGGCAAAUCUAUACUGAAACAGUAAAACUCACUCAUUGCCAUCCGUAAGAUUGCUAUAAGGUUAAAUAAAUAAAAGAAAUUAAAAGAAAAUUUUGUCUGAGGAUACAAAUAAAAUCGGAGCCUUAACAAUCUUCGUUGGAAAAGAAAAGAAGAAAAAAAGAAAGAAACACCAUACGCAUCCUUUACUCCAAUUAAUUUUUCUUUUAAAAGUCUAUUGUAGGUGUAAAUUACGGCACCUCCACCAAUAGGGGUGCGAUCUAAACGUAAUAUACAUUAUAGAGAUUGCACGUGCAUCAUCAAUCCUGCAUUCAGUGCUUCUCAUGUUUUCUUUCUUUCUUAUGUGUAAUGAACGUUGAUGUCCAUGUGCUCCCACAGUUUUAAGUAAUUUUUUUGCUUAUCAAAAAAAAAAAAAAAUUGUUUUUUUGAAUUAACUAUCCAAGUCCGAUAUAUCCGAGUGGGUAAUUGCACAUUAUCUAUUCCCUGAUGUCACAUAUUUUUGUCUUUCACUGUCCUUAAAUUACAAUGAAAUGGAAUAAUAUUGGCAACAGUAGAAAAUAUAAUAAGUAAAAAAUUUAUAAAAAUAAUGUUUUGUUUUAUAAUCAAAAGUUUAAAUAGAAAUAUGAAAGUAAAAAGUUAAACACAAAAUAAAAUAAAGAAAAAUAAAAGAAUUUUUUAAAAGGAGAAAUAUAUUAUCUUUAAUUAGACAAUGUUUCAUUUUAAAUAAGAACUAUAAUUUGUCAUUUUGUUAAAUUUGAUUUAGUUUAAUUUGAUUGUAUUUAUUUCUUGGAUCAGGGAAUGAUAAUGAUAUUCAUUCCUUAUUGGUAGUGCUUACUUGCAAAAAAUAUGGAGGAAUAAGAAUAGAUUUUGGGUGGAGUCCAUAAAUUUGAAAAAAAAAAAUGAGAAUCUCAUUGGCAUGAGUAGAGGUGGGAAUAAAAAUUGGGGAAUAAAUUUUUAUCUUUAAAAAAAUAAAAAUUCAUUUUUUUUAGAUCAUAUUAAUAUGAAAUAAUUAUUAUUAUUGAUGUUAUUAUUUAUACUAAAAAUAUUUAUUAUUUAUUUUGUUAGUGAACAAAUACAUAACUGUAACUAAGGCCAUAUAAGUAUCUUACAGUAAUUCAUUACGAUUAUAAGAUAAAAUAGACACAUCAAUUAGAAUAUAGUUUAUUCUAAUUUUGAUUCUUACAGUUCAAGUAUAAACUUAUUCUAGUUCUUAUUUUUCAUUUUAAUUCCAGUAUAUUUCGAUAUUAGCCUAUUCUAAUUCCUAUCUAUUCUGAUCCUGGAAAAAUAAAUGCAUCUAAUUCAAUUAUAAUAGGGGCAUUAGAGGCUAAAUUUAAACUUAAAGAGUAGUUCUGAUAUUAGACCAUAUUUUAAGGACAUCUAUGAAAAUAUAAUCAACAAAAAAACGGUUACACCAUCAUCGUUUUGUUGGCAACAAUAACGUUGAAGUGGUCUGUCUCCUUGCGAGUUGUGCAACCCCUUCGGUCGCAAGGAGAUGCCAAUCUUUUCAAUUUGUCGAUUUGCUUUCCUAAAGCAAUAAAAUAAAACUCAAAGCCCCACUUCAAAACUUGUGCAAGAAGGAGAUGUAACUGACGUAUGCUGUCUUUCCAUUUCUUGGUGCAUGUAUAUAUAAGUCUGAAUAUCAGCUGAGUCGGCCAACACAUGCAAGCAAUUUUAGUUUUUCGGUCAGUAUUGUUUCCUUGUCUUAUGAAUUUAUCUUCAAAUUUAUUAUAUUUUCACUUCAAUUAUGUUUCUGGGUACUCGUUAUUUGCUUUUCUUUGAUGAUUUUGGUGUUUUUCUUUGGCUCUUUUUUUAACUGUUUCUACUGGUUAAUUUAGCUACUUAGAUAAAAUUAUUUGCUAGAAUAACUUAAUCUUUUGCUAUUUUAUGUUCGUUUUAUGUCGAUUUAAUUCGUUGUAUCAAAUGUUAUCACAAAUGAUGCAUGAGUAAUUUCGUUAAGUAGGAUAUCUUUAACCCCUUUUUUUUUCUUUUUUCCUUUUUAAAUUUUUUGGUCUAGAGAAUGUUUAUUUUGGUUCAAUCUUGUGUUACUAAACUGUUGCGUUCAUUUUCGCAAGUCUUUUUGUUGCUGUUUAUGGGGCAAUAGUGAUUUCGUUUCACAAAAUUCUGUAAAUACUUAUUAUUCUUAGUUUGGUUUAAGGUAGUGCUAAGUUAAUUUAUCAUAAUGGCUUACAUUCCACCACAUAAGCGACACUGGAAGGACCUACAGAGGCCAUCUCCAGCUCCACAGAUGCUUGUGCCUAAAUUCAACAGAAGCUUAAACUUGGGAUUGCCCAAGCUUAAUGAAGACGGGAGUGGAAAUCUUGUGCAUGCAGAGCAUGCCGUAUUCAGGUGGUUUGCUGUUGGCUUGGAUGGUGAUAGCGGCUUUCCUUCUUCUUUCCAAUCUGAGCCGUCCUCAGUGGAGCCUGUUGAGCAUAAAAGAGGAGUAAAGCCGUUAGUUUUAGUGAACAAUAAUCUGGCUGAAGGUUAGUGUUCUACCUUUUUUGUUUUAUCUUAAUGUGUUCUACUUUCGUUCUUGAUUUAUGUCUGGUGUUAACUUUAGUUAUGUGGACAUUUGGCUUUCUGGUUGGCAGACGAUGAUGAAGUGGGGGGAAAUAUAUCAAGAAGCUCAGGGAAACCGGUACCAGAAAAUGUAUGGCCAGAUGUAUUGAGUGCUUGUAAGAUUGUCAAGAACGAAUAGGAGAAAAAGCCAACAUUAGUUGCUGGAUUUGGCAAAGUUCAUUUCCAUCGAUAUGUGAUCUGGUUUCCAUUGCUGCUAUAGCGUGAAUGUUUUGUGUUAAAUCAUUCCUCUCCUUUCUUUCGACUUUGAACUUAAAGCAACAAAAAUGCAUAUUCAUACUAAAAUCUGACAGAAAUCUUAUGUUAGUAUUACUUGAUUUCUGGUGUGAGAAACAAAUCAAUCUCUUGCCGCCAUGAGUCCGUGACCAAGUUUUAUCGUUUGAAUUUUCAUUGGGACAACACAUUAUAUCAUUGCUUGACCUUAUUUCUUGCUGUAAAAAUGAUUCCAUUCUUCUAUCACAUCUUUGAAGCCUCCAUUAGUUUUUGUAUUACAAGUGCCUCAAAGAAGUAAUUAUAUCAUUCAUCUCGAUGCAGGAACAAUUUACUGCACUUAGGAAGUGAAAAAGAAUGUCAGGUUGCUGAAGAAACCACUUUGAGGCAAACGAAGUGAUCCUUUUACACAAAUGUCCCUGCUAUAUACAUGGAAAACAUUAUAAAUGAAGUUGUGCCAAAAAAUUGGAGUUUAUUUUGAAGAGUACAAGGAUAUAUACCACGUCAAGGUAGUUCUUCUACUAAGAACUUCAGUAUUAAUUAUCAAGUUUCUUUCAUAUCUCACUUAAUUAACCAUCGAUACACCAACCCCGCCGCCCCGCGUGUAGUUGCCCGACAACAGGUGACAAAGCUCAACUAUUUCAUGCAAAUCUACUGUUAAAGAAAAUAAAACAUUUGAGCUCUAUAAGGCAAGUUUUCUGCUCUUGGCUAACUAUUAUUUAUGGACAAUGGAUCGAAUAUUGUGUUUGUUGCCUGUAUUUUAAAGGAGAUUUUUGCUACUUCAAAUUGCAACAGGCCUUUUGCUGUUUUGAAUUAAAUAGAUGAGGGUUUGAAUAUAAUGUUUUCAAUGUGAAUCAAGAAGGAUCUAUUCAAAAUAAAAGUGAUAAAGAUUAAGAAAGAACUUAAGGUUAUGUUUGGGAGGUAGGAUUAAGUAUAGGAUUGGAUUAAUUUAGAACUCAUUAUUUAUCUUAUGUUUGGCAAGCUCCACUUUGGAUUAGAUCAUGGGACUAAAUUUGAAUUUAGUCCUAAGAUCAUGGGAUUAGCAAUCCCAAUUAAAACAUGGGUUUGGUUAGGAUUAACUUAAAAACAAUUGUCUAUUUAAUUAAUUAUUACUUGAAUAUCUAAUGAAUAUUUAAUUUAAUAAUCACUAUAUUAAAUUAAUCAUGAAAAUUAAUAAUACUAGUAAUUGGUUGCUUUUAUAUAAUUUGCUAACUUUUUGGUAAAAUAAAAUAUAUUUAAAAUAUUUAAUAAAAAUUAAAUCAAAUGUUUAAAUAAUUUUUAAUUUAAUUUAACGUAAUCUAAUUUAUAUUUGUUUAUUAUAAUUAUGAUUACCCAAUAACUAAUUUUCUGCAUAUUUAAUCUUAAUUAAUUGUCCUUUAAAUUAAUAUUAAUAAUGAUUUUAUUAUUAAAUAUUCACAAAUAGUUCAUAUUUAUAUUUAAAUAUCAAAUUAAAUGCUAUUUAAUUUCAUUAAAAAAUAACUUAAUAUAGUCCAAUCUAAUAUUGUACCAAACAUAAGACAAUAUUAUAUAAUUCAAUUUAAUCCAAUUAAAUCCAAUCCAGUCCAAUCAUGCGUGCCAAACGUAACCUAAGAAGCUAAGAGCUUUUAGAAGACUUUGAAGAAAUAAUAUCAAUUUGAAAGGAAAAGAAUUUAAAAUGAAGAAGAAAAAGAUAAUUCACAAGAAGUAAGACUAACUCUACAUCUGAUUGAGGAACAGGCUUGUUACUUCAACUAUUAUAACCAAUUGAAUUAAGUUAACAGUUAACAAUUUUGUGCAGAUACCCAAUUUUACAGUCUUGUAAAAUGGUUUAUAAUGCUGUAAAGUGCCUUUGAUGUCCACCUGAGCAUGAUUAAUUUAAUAUAAUUUUAUUUGCUUUUAACUAAUUUACUAUGUAUAUAUGUAUGUUGUUUGUUUUGCAGAACGUACUCGUUGCUGGAACAGACACGAGUGCAGCAACUGUGGUUUGGGCCAUUACUUACCUAAUGCAGAAUCCUAGAGCAAUGAAAAAAGUUCAACUGGAAAUCAGAUCGUUGAUUGGGGGUAACAAAGGCUUUGUAAAUGAAGAUGAUGUUCAAGAACUACAUUAUCUUAUGGCGGUAGUGAAGGAGACAAUGAGAUUGCAACCCACAGUGCCAUUACUAAUCCCAAGAGAAACAAUUCAAAAGUGCGUAAUAGAUGGGUAUGAAAUACCAGCUAAAACACUUGUCUUUGUAAAUGCAUGGGCGAUAGGAAGAGACCCUGAAGCUUGGGAGAAUCCGGAGGAAUUUUAUCCGGAGAGAUUCGUUGAUAGCUGUAUUGACUUUAAAGGGCAACACUUUGAAUUAAUACCGUUUGGUGCUGGCAGAAGAAUUUGUCCUGGGUUGAAUAUGGGAAUCGCAACUGUGGAUCUCGCAUUUGCUAAUCUUCUUUAUAAAUUUGAUUGGGAAAUGCCGCCUGGAAUGAAGAGCCAAGACUUGGACUUUGAUGUUCUGCCGGGAAUUACUAUGCAUAAGAAGAAUGCUCUCGCUCUUUUGGCUAAGUAUCAUGAGUAGGUAAAUUAAGGCACCUCGGACCAACAAAGUGUUGGCUCCACUGGCAAUGGAGUCCCCUUAAGUGGCUUGACUGGGUUUGCUCGUGCAUCUCAUGUUUCCUUUCUUUCUUCUUAUGUAUAAUGAAUGUUGAUGUCUAAGUGCCCAUAGGCUGAGUGGUUUUUAAUAAUUAAAUUUCUUUUAGUUCAAAAUUUUGGGAGGUAAGGACUAGAGAAUAAUGGUUACUCAGCUCACUUUCCUAUACUAAAAAAAAAAAAGGUUGAUAUGAAUGUGAAUAUUAAUCUACUACGAUCAUUUCAUCUCAUAUUUUUUCUCCUAUAUUUUUUUCUUUAAAUUUAACUUCUAUCACUUAACCUGCUAUCUUUUUAUAUGAUUGGAUAGAGAUUGAAAUUUUUGCUGUUCCACCUCGAUGUUAAUGCUAAUAUUAUCUUCACACCUUUACUGUAAUUUUCUACUUCUACUAUUAGAUGCUGAAGUAAUAAUAGAGUUAAUGCUAAUAUUAUCUUCACACCUUUACUGUAAUUUUCUACUUCUACCUCGAUGUUAAAGUUUUGAUAAUAAAGACUGGUCCAACAGACCCAAUAAAGCCAUAAAAAUGACCUUUUUUUUUUCUUUUCUUUUCUUUAAACAAAAUUGGUCGAAGACCUAGCAAGUCUUUAUUCUGCAUUUUGAUUGGUAUUGAGAGGCCAUUAUUCUAGAUAAGCUGGGGAAUAAGUUGGGCUCUUAAUAGAAAUUUGUUAAAAGUCUCUUGGUGGUCACACAGCGCACAGCAUGCGGCUUUUCUAAAGCGGAUGGUGUUUUUAAAAGUCUUCAUUCGGAGCGGGUGAGAUUUGGAAUGACUCACGAGAAAUUCCACAACUCAAAAAGAGAUUCGAAAAAGUAGUUUGUUUUUUUCUCUUUAUUUUUCUUUUCCAAGUUGAUAUCAUUGAGAAAUUUCAAACUCAACAUACAAUAUGUAGAAUAUAUUUUGUAAUAGAGAAAUAAUAGAGUCGCAAAUUAUUAAUGUAAAACAACGUUGAUUGAAUAAAAACACAAAAUAAUACAAAAAAAAAAUGAAGCAUAUGAAUUUUUAUUUAACCAAUAUCAUCGCUUUUAAAUGAUGACUGAAUUUUACCUAUUGCGUAUCUUGGACUAAAUUUAAUUUCAAAAAAUGAGCUUCCAGCUUAUUACUUAUACGUAUCUUGCACUUUGGUUUUACGAUCACCAUUGGAUGGAAGAGUGGCUUGAGUUUGUUAAUUGCUUCAGUCCCAGGACUAGUGUUUGGAAACAUAAAAUUUAUCAGUUCAGCAGCUAUAAAUCUGUUUCAUGAUUGUUAUUGCACACUAUUUCCUAUAUCUUUGUCUCCAUGCUCGUACUGAAUUAGUGGCGCAUUUGUCAUCUUUCGCCUUUCAUUAAAAUGUGCUUAUUAUUUUUUAUUUCAAUCGUAGGAUGGGAAGAUUGAUACUGAUUCCAUCUACAAUGGGUUUAAAGACAACGUGAGGUUAAUGUGGGAGCGUUUCUUGUCAUGCCAGCAACUGUUGACAUAAACAACAGACUGCAAGCUUCACCUACUCUCUGUUCAUAUUUGCAUUUGUGUGCAUCUUGUACUUGUUGUUGCAGAAAGAUGAAUAUGUAAGAAUAAGAUCGUGUUUGUAUGCAAUGGUCAAAUGUUUUUGCAAAAAAUGUCGUUGCUUGAGUUCCUCAAUUCUCAUUCUGAACUUCAAAAUUUGUACAUUUCUUUAACUUAAUUUUUUUUUUCUGUGUAAUAGUAGUUUAAGUUUGGUAGUUUCUGUGUAAAGUGUUUUAUAUUUUCAUGUGUGGAAUAAAUAUCAAUGGCCAACAACAAUAAGAGUUUGAUUUUAUUUGUAAGACAUGUCUUUCAAAAUUAAGCUAGUGACAUACUUGGAUCACUUGGGAUCCACUUGCAAAUGUAUUUUGAAGAAAAGUUUUCUCCCCGCCUUUUAUGUAAUCACACCCACCAGUAAAAUGGUAAUUUAUUGAAAGGUCCUUGAUGCCCGGUUAAAGUUAUAAUUAAAUUAAUAAACGUAUCUUUUUAAAUUAAUAAACUCAUCUUUUUGAAUAUGUUCAUCGUUUUGUACGUAUAUUAGUAUUUUUUUUAAAUUCCUUCUAUUUCUAUCCUAUUGGUUAGAAGCAAAUAUUUCACUGUAAUCUCCUGUCGACCAAAAGGAGAUGCCUUUCCCAAAGCAAGAAAAGAAAACACAAAAAGCCCACUUCAAAAACUUGUGCAAGAAGGAGAUGUGAUUACGCUGUCUUUCUGUUUCUUGGUGCGUGUAUAGAUAUAUACAUACACACAUAAGUCUGAGGAUCAGCUGAGCCAACAGCCCACUAGGAAGCAAUUUUAAAAUUUUUGGUAAGUAUUGUUCUUUAUAUCUUAUGAAUUUUUCCUUCAAUUAUCAUAUUUUCACUCAGUUUUGUUUUUGGGCACUCGUUAUGUGAUUUUCUUUUGAUGAUUUCGGUGGCUUCUUUUUAGCUCUUAUUUUACUGUUUCCACUGGUUAGUUUAGCUGCUGUCUACUGAGAUAAAAUUAUUUGCUUGAAUAACUUAGUCUUUUGCUAUUUUAUUACGUUCAGUUUAUAUACAGUUGAUUCAUUGUAACAAAUGUUAUCAUAAAUGAUUCUUGAGUAAUUUCAUUUAUUUACUUUUUCUUCUUUCAUAGUUGGCCUGUACGGUAUCAUUUACUUUUAUCUUUUUUCAAAUUUCUUUUAAUCUAGAGAAUGUUAUCAUAAAUGUUUGUUUUACUUUUUCAAAUUUCUAAGUAUUUUUGUUGCUUGUUUAUCGGGCAAUACUGCAACAGUGAUUUCAACUCACAAAAUUCUGUAAAUAGUUAUUAUUCUUAGUGUGGUUUUAAGGUAGAGUGAAGUUCAUAUUAUCAUAAUGGCUUACAUUCCUCCACAUAUGAGGCAUACGAAGGACCCCCAGAGGCCAUCUCCAGUUCCAGAGAUGAUUGUGCCUAAAUCCAACAGAAAAUUAAACUUGGGAUCAUCCAAGCAUAAUGCAGACAUGAGUGGAAAGAUCGUGUAUGCAGACCCUGCCAUACACAGAUGGUUCAUUUGUGGCUUGGAUAAUGAUAGCAGCACUCCUUCUGUCCGCUUUGUGGAGUUUUCAGACGACCCUGUUGAGCAUAAAAAAUCGACGACCAUUAAUCUGGCUCGAGGUUACUGAUCUGCAUUUGUAAUUUUAUCUUAAAUAUGUCCUACUUUCUUUAUUUAUAUGCGGUGCUAACUUUAGUUAUAUUGACAUUUGGAUUUUGGUUUGGUAGAUAACGAUAAAUUAUGUGGGAAUACAUCAAGAAGCCCAUGGGAAUCGAUAGCAGAAAAUGUAUGGCCAGAUGUCUUGAGUGCUUGUAAUAUUGUCAAGAACGAAAUGGAGGAAAAGCCAACAAUGGUUGCUAGAUUUGGCCAUCAUCUUUUCCGUGAGUAUGUGAUCUGGUUCCAUUGCUGUAACAGCUUGAAUUUUUUAUUAGGUCAUUCCUUUUCUUUGGACUUCGAAAUUAAAGCAGCAAAAAUGCAUAUUCAUACUAAAUUCUGACAGAAAUCUUAUGGUCAUAUAAGUGCUGGCAGCUAAAAUUAUGAGCUUUACCAUUAACCCUACCACCAGCUGUGGAUGACUGUAAAUCGGAUCUCCAAGCCGGGGACAAAAGUUAAAAUUGCUUUUAAAAGCCAAAGAGGAAAAGAUUUGUAGAAAGAAGGAAAAAGAAAAUGGCAAUUUAUAGUGCAUGCACUUCUUUCAGACUUGUAUCUCAUAGAAGCUUUCAUGGCAUCUAGAAUUUGGCUUUGGCUUUGCGUAGGACAUUUCAAUUGUUGCUGGUGGAAACAAAUAUAUCCAUUGUCUUAGUAUUGCUUGAUUUCCGGUGCAAGAAACAAAUAAAUCUAUUGCCGUACGUGGCCAAGUUUUGUUGUUUGAUAUUUCAUUGGGACAACAAAGUAUACCAUUGCUUCGCCUAUAUCUUACAUCUUUGUAUCAUAUAUUUCCAUUCUUCUAUCGCAUCUUUGAAGCUUCUACUAGUUUUCAUAUUAGAAGUGCCUCAAAGAAAUAAUUAUUAUAUUAUUUGUCUUAAUGAAGGAGUGACAUACUGAGCUUAGAAAAUGCAAAAGAAGGUCAGGUUGCUGAAUCUGCUUUGAGCCCACUGAGGAGAUGCUUUUACACUGGUGUCCCUCCUACAUACAUGGGAAAAAUUGUAAAUGAAGUUGUGCCAAAAAUUGGGGUUGGUUUUGUAGAGAACAAGGAUAUAUACCAUGUCAAGGUAGUUCUCCUGCAGUCCUGCUAAAUACUUUAGUAGUCAUCACCAAGUUUCUUUUAUCUCUCACUUAAUUAGCCAUUGAUUCCCCCCCUUCUUUUUCUUGUGUAGUUGUCUGAUGGCACACGACAAAUUACGUGCAAAUGUACUGUUAAAGAAGAUCAAAAGCUUCAUCUCUAUAAGGCAAGUCUUUUGCUACUGGCUGAGUAUUAUUUAUGGACAAUGGGUCCUAGAUUAUAAGUUUCCUCUUGUGUUAAGGAGACUUUUGCUAGUGGAAACAUUGGAAACAAGACUUAUGAUGUUUUGAAUUGAAUAAUAUAAUCUUUUCACUGUGAAUUAUGAAGGAGCUGUCGAAAUAUAAGCGAUAGAUAUCAAGAAAGAGACGAAACCUUUGUGUCUCACAAGAGCCUUUUAGAAGUCUCUCCAGGAAUUAGGGAUGGCAAUGGGGAGGGGAGGGGAGGGGAGGGGACCAACAUCCCUACACCCAUUUCUGAUAUUCUGCAUAUAUCCCCGUCCCCAUUAGAAUUGCUUGAGAGAAUCCCCGUUCCCUCCCCGAAUAAUAAGAGGGGAUCCUCGAGGGGUCCCCGAUCCCCUAAUAACUAAUACGUUUUUAAAUUUAAAUUCUGAACUUGAUUUAAUUAUAUAAAAAUAAAAAUUUAAACAAAAAUAAGGUUUGACAAUAUAUCUUACACUAAAAUUAAUCUAUUACAAAAAUCACACUACAACUUACAAACCAUCAGAAUAAUUAUUUUCGUCAAUCUUCAUAAUCCUAUAACAAAAAAAAUAUGUUUUUAUCAAUAAUGAAAUAAAUGAAAUGAAAUAUAGAUACUGAAAUUAAUAUUUUUAAUAAAAGUAUUAACUCUUACACCUCAUGCUCCUCCUGUUCUUCCUCGAGUAAUGUGACAAAUUGAGAGAUAAUUACAAAUUUAAAAUCUAAAACAAUAAAAAUAAUAUAAACAAUAAGAAAAUUAUCAGUCAUAUACCCUUAAAUGACAUCCGUAUCAAACGUGUGUGAACACUUUUUAAGUGUAUCACUCAUAUACCCUAAGUUGACAAAACACUUCUGCCGUCCACCAAUCUGUUAACUUCCGUUAGAAAGUUAAUAGAAUUGUGGCAAAUUGACUAUUUUGCUCUUGAAACUCAAAAUGAGGUAAAAAUAUAAAUUUACCCCAAAAAUUAACGUAAAUUUUCAAUACACAAUUUUUUUAUUUUGUUAUUAACAAUACAUUUUUUUAUUAAAAAAGAAUUAUUAAUGGUACAUAUUAUUAACAUUUAUCCAUAAAAAAAUAUUCAUAUUAUACCAUAAAAAAUUAUUAACAACAUAUUAUUUACAAUUAUAUAUAUUAUACCAUAAAAAUUUCCAGUUGGAGCUUGGAGGAGUAGAUCUUCAAAAAUUUAGGUUAAAUUUUGGAGGAGUAGAUUCGGUUGUAAAGUAGUUUUUUUUAGCAAUUAUUAAUUAUCCGAUAAAAUGGGAUGACAUGUCAUUUUUAUCAAUAUAUAUCAUAUGACAUGUCAUUGUUUACUAGGUAAAUGGGAUGACAUGUCGUUUGUUUAAUCAAAGUUUCGUCAAUGUUAAAAGACUAAAUUACCCUUAUGAUGUCAACUCUUGCAAACGGAAGUUAACGGAUUGGUGAACGGCAGAAGUGCUUUGUCAACUUAGGGUAUACGAGUGAUACACUUAAAAGGUGUUCACACAUGUUUGAUACGAGUGUCAUUUAAGGGUAUAUUACUGAUAAUUUCCCUAAACAAUAUGACUCAUAAUCUAAAACAGUAUUGGCCCAAGGUCUUUAAAAUAAGGUCUGGUCAAAUAGUAAUUCAAGACUACAACUAGUUAAGUAGGCUCGAAAUUUUUAUAGUUGAUCUGUAUAAAUAUUUUGAUAUUUGUUAUUUAUACUAAUAUUUAAUAUAAUUUAAAUUUCAUUAUUCAUUUAUUAAUAAUUCUAAAAAAUAAAAUCAAAAUUAAAAAUUAAUACGAGGAAAUGGGUAGGGGAUGGGGAUUCCACCUCAUCCCCGUCCCUUCCUCGAAUAAGAAACUAGGUAAAAAAUUGUCUCCGUCCCUUCCCCGAAUAAGAAAUUGGGUAUAAAAUUGUUCUCAUACCCUCUCCGAAUAUGAAAAAUCCCUAAGGGUGCUCGUCCCCGUGGGGAUUUUUGCCAUCCCUACCAGGAAUAAUCUCAGUUAAGAGGAAAAGAAUUUAAAAUGAAAAGAAGGAAGAAAAUUCUCAAGAAGUAAGACUAAUUCUACAUCAAAUUGAGGAACAGGCUUGUUAAUUUAACAAGGAAAGCUCCAGUAGCUAUUUAUUAUAAACCAAUUAAAAAUUGAAUUAAUUUAAUAGUUAACUUGUAAUUAAAUGUCUAAUCCAACAAACUAUGCAUAAGAUUACAGAUGUAACUAUGUAAUACAAAAAACCUCUGCUUAUUGUAGACCAAAGUGAAUAUGCCAAUAUUUAGGAAUUUCUUUCAGCAUCAUGGGAUUUAGAUCCCUAUAAUCUUUUUUUAUUUUAGUGUAGUGACAUCCGGAAGACCAGAAUUAUCACGUACCUCGUAGUAGUCAUUUUAUGUCUUUUAAAGCGCCACAUUAUUUCCCAUACAGUCAUAAUAUAUCUAUUUGUUGUUUAUUUAUUGUUGUCGUGUGUGGAGUCUCAUCUUGAAUAUGAACAUUUUUCCGGUAGGUCGAGCUGGACUCUGUUCGUCACAUGGUAGCAGACAUGUUAUGCGUUCAUAAAAAUCUAGACCUGAGGUUGGCACUAUGUUCAAAGAGUACCUUUUCUGCUCUCUCGGUGAGUCAAUCUGCUACUCUGUGCAUGUUUAGCUGGACUUUUAAGUUACACCUUCUUUUUUCCCCUUUUUAUUUUUUUUGGUCAUUUGCUUGUUGGAAUUAUCAUCAUUACAGAAUGAGGAAGAAAAAUUCAAGACCAGGGGAAAUAAGGAAAUAUUAAACUUAUAGCUUUUGUUUUAUCAUAGAAAGUUUACUUUCAAGGGGUUGAGAAAAAAUUUAUAUACACACACACACACACACACAAGCUUAAAACGGUUAAACAUUAGCAUGCAUGAUCCUUUUCUUCAAAACUGAAACUUUACAAAUGUUAAAAAUAGAAUAACAAAUAAAUUAUUAGAUUUCCAAAAUCAGUUACCCGUUAUGUAGGCUUAAAACAAAAGUUAAAUAUAAGCUCUUUUUUUUUUUGGGAGGGGGGGGGGGGGGGGGGGUGUGUGCCUAUGAGUAGUCCCAGCAACUCGAAUUCUAUGAUCAAACUGAAAUUUUUGAGUUUUCAGGAUGAUGAAAUGAACAGCAUUAGAAUUCUGAUUAAUUCAGCCAUUCCGGAUCCCGAAGUCAAGGGUGGGUAAAGAUGGCCCAUGGGGAAGUCAUAUUCAGGGGAUUACACAAUUGUUGGGGUUUGGCACAAUGAAUUUAAAUCAUAUAAAAGCCCAUCACUAAAGCUUAAGGUAAGAAAUGUUGAUCGAUUUAUUUUCAAGACUGGAACUGGGGAAGCUACGAUUGAGAUUAAUCUAAAGUUGAGAAGACUAGUUUCAGAGAUUCAGGUACUUGCUGCUUUUUGCUUUAACUUUUAUCACAUAACCUACUAUCUUUGUGUAUGAUUACAUGGAUCUUGAAAUUCUUGCUGUUAUGUCAUAAUGUUAAUGCAUAUUUUGUCUUCACGCAUUUCUUACUGAACUUGUGUCUUGAGCUGUAAUUAUAAUUUCCAAUUUUUACUAUUAGAUGGGUAUUUUAUUGGAGAUUUCUUUACUUAAAAAAAAAAAAAUGUUUGACAGAGAAUAUUUUAACGAUGAGAUUGCAAUAUUGUAAUAGAUAAUCUUCAGGAACUCUUUUUACCUUUUAGUAGUUAUGCAGUUGCUCCUCUGUGUUAGCUUAUUUAUUCUAUCAUAUGUAACGAAUGACUUUUUACCAAAUUUGAUUUCAAAGCUGAGCUUCCAGCUUAUGACUUAUAUUUGUGUCUUGCACUUUUGUUUUACAAUCACCAUUAGAUGGAAGAGUGCUUAGAGUUAGUUAAUUGAUUCAAUCCCAGGAUUAGUCUUUUGAAACAUAAAAUUUAUCGGCUAAGCUAUAUAAAUCUGUUUCAUGUUUCUUAUCGCACACUAUUUCGUAUGGCUUUGUCUCCAUGCUCAUACAAAAUUAGUGUUGUAUUAGAUGUCUUCUGUCUUUCAUUCACAUGUACUUAUUACUUUUUCUUUCAAUCGUCAGGAUGGGGAGAUUGAUACUGAUUCCAUCUACAAUGGGUUUAACGACAACUUGAGGUUAAUAUGGGACCAUUUCUUGUCAUGGGAGUCAUAACUUUUGACAAAAACAACAGAUUGCAUGCUCUCCCCGCUCGGUUCAUAUUUGCGUUUGUGUGCAUCCUGCAGUUGAAGAUGUAGAAUGAUGUAAAUGCAAGAAAAAGAGCAUGUUCGUAUCCAAUGGUAAAAUGUUUUUGCUAAAAUGUAUGGACUUGUAACAGUUUGUUGCGUGAGUUUCUCAAUCUCCUAAACCUCAAAUUUUGUCCUAUUUUCACCCCGGCUUUUUCCCCCCGUCCUCUGUAAUAGUUAUAUUUGGUAUAAUUAAGUUUGGCAGUUCCUUUGUAAAGUGUUUUAUAUUCAUGUGUGGAAUAAAUAUCAACAUCCAGAUACAAGAAAGUUUGAUUUUAUUUGUAAGACCUGUCUCUCAAAAUUAAUCUAGUGACAUGCUUGAAGCACUUGGGAUCCACUAGUUGGAUGUAUUUUUGUUAAGAUUUAUUUAGCAUUUUGUAUGUGUAUCAGUGCGUUUUUUUGUUUUUAAACCGUUGGUUAGAGGGCAAACAUUUCACAUUAAAGUGGGGUCUGCUUGCCACCAAAGGAGAUGCCUUUCCCAAAGCAAGAAACGAAAACUCAAAAGCCCACUUCAUAACUUGUGCAAGAAGGAGAUGUAAUUGACAUAUGCUGUCCUUUUUCUUGGUGUGUGUAUGUGUAUACACACACUUAAUUCCGAAGAUCAACUGAGCGAACAGCCAAAACUUGAAAGCAAUUUUAAAAUUUUCGGUUAGUAUUGUACUUUAUAUCUUAUGAAUUUCUCUUUAAUUUAUUAUAUUUUCACUUUAGUUUUGUUUCUGGGUACUCCUUAUGUGCUUUUCUUCGAUGAUUUUGGUGAGCUCAUAUUUUACUAUUUCCACUGGUUAGUUUAGCUAUUGUCUACUAAGAUAAAAUUAUUUGCUUCAAUAACAUAGAGUAUUGAGGUACUAUAAUUUAAAAAUUUAGAAAAAAAUAUACUUAUAAAAUAAAAGUUAAUAGUAUGUGGUAAAUAUAAUUUUAAAAUAAUAAUUUUAAUAAAAUUAGUAAAGAUAUAAUAGAUUUUCAUCAUAUAAAAAUAAAAUAAAAUCAACUUAAUUUCUAAACUACAUAAAAUAAUGUUUAUAAAACACUUUAGUGUUGUAACUACCAAACCUCAAUCUAAAGUAUGGCCUUAAUCGUUUGCUAUUUUAUUAUGUGAUUGUAUAUAGAGUUAAUUAAUUGUAUCAAAUGUCAUCAUAAAUGAUGCAUGAGUAAUUUCAUAUUGUUUUUUCUUUUCUUCAUUGAUAAUUGGCCUGUCGGAUAUCUUUGAACUUUUUUUUUUCGCCUCAAAGUUCUUUUAGUCUGCAAAAUGUUGACUUUAGUUUCGAUCUUGGUUAUUGCAAUAUUUCAUUCGUUCUUUCUAAGCAUAGUGGUUUCAUUUCAUAAAAUUCUGUAAUAAGUACUUAGUGUAGUUUAAGGUUGCGCGAAGUAAUAUUAUCGUAAUGUCUUACAUUCCACCACAUAAGCAGCAUUCUAUAAUCAAGACUGCAGAGAAUCUCGCAGAUAUGUUGACUAAGGUGGUGACGACGAUUAAGUUUGAGCAUUGUCUAAACUUGAUUAAUAUCUUACAAGUUUGAAAAUAGUCAGGGAAGACAAUGACUGGAGGAUGGUUUGUUGAUAGUCGGCUCAGAUUUACUAAAUUUUCGCCAAGGUAGAGAAUUGUUGAAAAGUCAAGCAUGCUUGCAUGAGCCAGCUAGCAUGCAAAUUUCAAGCACACCAAUGUUCAGCUAGCUUGAUCCAAUUGCAUGUGCUAGCAUGAUCUCUUCAUCAAAAGUCACACCAAAGCCAUUAAAAUUGAAAAUGGCCAAAUUUUUUUUUUCAUGCAUUCAUAUUGUAAGCUUUGCAUAUAAAUAGAGGAGUAGAAUGCAUUUGUAAAGCAUCCCAAUUUGUGAUAAGCAGAGAGCAAUUGCAAGUGAGCUCUUUGAGAGAAUUUGAGAGAGCUUCCACUUUAGUGUUCUAGUGAGGUUCCAUUUAGGUGUAUUGGGGUUGUGGGUUUUGUGAGUUUUUCCUACUUUUAUAAAUUCUCAUUACUAGUAAAAUUAUCUUCCAGUCUUUGCCCGUGGAUGUAGGCAUUACGCCGAACCACGUAAAUUAUUAUGUUCUAUUUUUUUUGUAUUUGUUUGUCACAUUUAUAUUUCUCCAAAAGUUACAUUCAUCGUAAUAUUGGUAAUUGCUCAACUUCGCACUUCCGCAACAAUUGGUAUAAGAGCAGAAGGUUCGUGCUUGGGGCAUACGACAUUGUUCACGUAUACGAAACUGUUCACGGAUACGGUAUUGUUCACGUAUACGGUACUGUUCAUUGAUACGGUGGAGAUGACCAUUUAUACUUGGGAGACAGUCUAUUGUAAGUAGUGUGUAUUUUUGCAUGUCUAGGAAAGUUCUGUCAACAAGGCGAUAAAAGACUAAGGAGUCUGGGUUUUAAGUGGGACCGUUGUGACCCCUCCAUUCUCCUAGGAACUUUCCUAGUGCAUUUAUUCAUGCGAAAUAAAUAUCAUAGAUGUUGUUUUUCAAGUGUAAAUAGUUGUUGAAGAAACUGAUCAUUUGAUAUAAAAAGGAUGGCAAAGGCAUUGUCGUCGUCUUCAUCAACAAGGACUACUGUGACUAAUGCAAAGUUUGAAGUGGAGAAAUUCGAUGGUACCAAUAAUUUUGGUAUGUGGCAAUGUGAGGUGUUGGGUUUCUUAUGUCAGCAAGAGUUGGACGUUACUCUUGAAGAAAAGUCUGACAUGAUGGAGGAAAAAGAGUGGAUAAAGAUCAAUAGACAGGCAUGUGGUACUAUUCGACUAUGUUUGGCUAAAGAUAAAAAAUAUUCUGUCAUGAGGGAGACAUCGACAAAGAAAUUGUGGGAGACAUUGGAAGAAAAAUAUAUAAAGAAAAGCCUUGAAAAUAUGCUUUAUAUAAAGAAGAAACUCUAUCGAUUCACAUAUACACCUGGCAUGUCAAUGAAUGACCAUGUGAGUUCAUUCAACGAAAUAUUGGCAGAUUUGCUAAAUUUGGAUGAGAAAUUUGAAGAUGAAGAUAAGGCACUGUUGUUUUUGAAUUCCCUUCCUGGUGAAUAUGAUCAUCUCACCAACAAUUUGCUUCAUGGGAAGGACAUUGUCACAUUCGAUGUUGUAUGUAGUGCAUUGUAUAACUCUGAGAUUAGAAAGAAAGACAGAAAAGAUAACAGAGAUACAGUUGUGGAAGCAUUGACAACUAGAGGUCGUUCAAAAGGCCGUAAACCUAGAAAAAGAAGCAAGUCUAAAGGGAGACCUACCAAAGAUGAGUGUGCUUUUUGUCGCGAGAAAGGGUAUUGGAAAAAGAAUUGUCCUAAGUUACAAAAGGGCAAGGCUUCUUCUGAUGCAUGUGUAGUAGAGCAUGAUGAGGAGUCAGACUUUAGUCUGGUUGGCAUGACGUUGACAUGUUACUCAGAUGAGUGGUUUUUAUAUUUGGGUUGUACUUAUCAUAUGUGUCUUAACAAUGGCUGAUUUUCUAGCUUUAAGGAGCUGGACGGUAGAGUUGUUUUUAUGGGCAAUGACAAUGUCUGUAAAACCUUAGAAUAGGUACAAUCCAAUUAAAAAAUCGUGACGGUUCAAUCAAAGUCUUGACGGAUAUUCGUACGUACCAAGUUUGAAAAAAAAUCUUAUCUUAUUAGGAGUCCUAGAAUCUAAAGGGCUCACAAUCACUCUGAGAGAUAGAUUAUUGAAGGUAGUAGAUGGCGCACUAACGGUGAUAAAAGGCACAAGAAGAAAUAACUUGUACUAUUUUCAAGGGAAUACAGUUAUUGGAUCAGCAUCAACAAUUUCUGGAAGAGAUGCAGAUUCAGAAGCAACCAAGUUGUGGCAUAUGUGUUUGGGACAUGUUGUGCAAAUUUUAUUGAACUCGCAAGUGCACGAAUCUAUUGUAGAAUAGACUAAUGGUGACGAGUGUCGAUCCCACGAGGAGGUGGAUUUUAAUUGUGUGUAGAAUUAAUUUUGUAAAUGGGUGGUUGGAUUUGUGGUGAAAAUGAUUUGGAUUAUCCUAAAAUUGGAAUUGAAAUGGCGAGAAUAAAUUGAAGAGAAAUCUAUUGAGAUGACGUACUUGGGUAUCUGGAUCCGUAUCAACAUGCAUCAUGGGCUAAAUAAUCCUUAUUAAUGCCAAUUAAAUCAUGAGGGGGGAAUCCACAUCUCAUGAACCACGCUCUAAUCAAUAUGGUGCUAAGGGCUUAUCGUGCCAAAUAAUAAUAACCUUGUACUAGGGAGCCGGUGAAACCAAUACGGUACUAGACAAAAUUAGUAUUAUUUGUCGACGAGAAGUCAAAACAUUCACAAAAAUUAGAGGGGAAGAGAAAGUAAAUUUACCAAAUAAAGCCCAUGACACAUGUUGAGACUUCACCUUCAACCCAAGCUUGAAAGAAAAUUAGCCACUCAUAAUUGAACUAGGGGCAAAAUAGGAAUUUAUUAAAAUACGUAGAAAAUACAAGAUGGAGAAGGAAUUACAGAAAAUGGAUCCCAAAAAUGGAUUCAGAGAUAUCAAAUUAGGGGGGGAGGCCCCCUUUUUAUAGAUACAUCGAGUAAAUCAUGGCCAUCGGAUUAAAAACAGUUCGGACGUUCAAGAUUGCGCCACGUCAUCCGUCAACAGUACGCGUGAAUAGUACGCGGUUUGACCACGUGGAUGAACAGUAACACGAUUUGACCCGGGUGAACAGUGACACGGUUUGGUUGAAAAUAAUCCUGUGUGUUGCAUGUACCGUACGUGAGAUUUUUGGUCCACUGAUAUGCUGCCACGUCAUCGAUCAACAGUGCAUAAGAAUUUUAGUCCAACAGGAUCGUGACACCUCAUCAGUCAAUGCCACAUCAUCGGUCAAUGCCACGUCAUCGAUCCGUCUAUGUGAACAGUGUCGUGAACAGUAACGUAGACAGUACUGUACAUGUGAAUAGUACCGUACAUGUGAACAAUACCAUUUUUCCUUUUAUGCUCCUCCUAAGGUUUUCGACCGUCUUGAGUUCAAAAGUGAUGUCCGUUUUGCCGUCUGAUCUCUCAUUUAUUGUGAAAUGACUAUGACGCCCCUAAAAUACAUAAAAUACUUAAUUAAAAUAAAACACACAAUUAAAUUCCCAGAAGCUUAAACACAUAAAAGUAAGGGUUGUUAAUAAGACGUGAAAUGUAAAAUGACAAUUUUCUCCUUUAUAAAUAUGUAUUUUCUAACACUCAACACACCCCCCAACCAGCUUAUUGCUAGUCCCUAGCAAAUAAAACGAAAACAAGAUUCAAAUCCAAUUUUUUUUUUUUUAAACACUCGUGUUUAUUCAAUCAGACUAAUGAUAACAAUCAAAUAAAAGUAUAAGCAUUAUCUCCAGUCUAAAGAAACAUCACACCCACAUCAACCAUCCACAUGAAUCAGCCUAGUAGACUUUGUCAUAGUUACCUUCAAGAAUGACAUGUCAAACCCCAAAAUCUCACUGGAAGUAGUGACACUCUCACAAAGAAAUUAAACCCAAUAAAAAUAGUCACUCCAAUGAAUGGUAAUUGAGAGAAAAUAAUAAAGAAGUGAUAUCACAUGCUCUCACCAAGAUGAAAUAAAUAUGCCCUCAGCUUAGAAAUAAUACGAUCUCAAGUCAAAUAAAAAUGCUAGUCAACCCAAUUUAUUUAUUUUUAUUUAUUAUUUUUUAAUGCACCACUACAUCUUUUUAGCCCAUAUAAUUAGCUUUUACUUCAGAUUAUAGUUCCCUAAAAUCAAGAAGGAUUUUUAUUAGGACGUAACGUAGGCUAGGGACAUGGCUAACAAAGAAGGGAAAUAAGGAAAACAAAGUGUAUGUUUGAGAAAAAUACAAAGGAUUUUUUUUUUUUUUUUGGAAGUUGCAAGGUGGAUUUCACCAAUUAUUGUUAUUUUUUUAUUCUUUUUUUUUAAACAACAAUUUCUUUUUCUUUUUUUUUUUGCUUUUGUUGGGCAUAACUUCACUAUACAAAAUAUUUAUUUACAUUUUUCUCAAACAUAAAUAGGUAAUGGAACUUGUAAGAUGUUGGGUAAUACUCUAAAUCGGAGUGGGUCAAGAUGAUAAGUUUGACAAAGAAAAGUUUUUUUUUUUUUUAAAGGCUCAAAAGGGUUAACUAUGGAUAUUUGAUAAAAGGGAUGGCUAGAAAGGCUCAAACGGAUCAAAGAUGGCCUUUCCAUCGUCUUUUAGGGCUCUGAAUAAUCUUCCAUAUUUACUAGUUAGAUGGGCCUCCAUAUGUAGCAACACACAUUUUUUUUUUAAUUUUACAAUUUUUUUUAAGGGUUAACUCAAAAGAAAUCUAGAGAUCGUGUAUACAAUAAUAAACUGCUAAGUUGUAUAAAGAAUGGGCAAAAGGGUUACUCUCCAAGAAAAAUGAUAGGCUCAAAAACUCACUUGGUACUUAUUAUGACAUGUUCAUUCCUUCAAGCAACUCAUAUUUGUCUCCGACAUCAACAUGUAGAGUAGCAAACGUAGCGUAACAUCACUUCAGACUAAAGAUAAUACAAAUACUAAAAUUUAAAAUUCAUCAUGUCAUCCAACGUUAAAACAAAUCAAAUUUUUUUUUUUUUUCAACAUCCUAUCCCCCAACCUAUUCUAAACAUGAAAGGAAAAUAUACAUGCAGAAAAACUAAUUAGAAAAUGAUAGAAAACGAAAAUAUUUUUUUUUUUAAUUUAAGAAGAUGCGUUUCUAGAGGCACUACACUCCAUAUUCAGCCAUCUUCGACUCAAAAAAAAAUUUGAAAAUGUAUAUUUAUAAAGGAGAAAUUAAAAAGAAGAAGAAAAAUGAACAUCAAAACAUAAUAGAGAAAAAGAAAAUGUUUGAAUUGUUUUUUUUGUUUUUUUUUUCAAACGAUGAAGAUGCGUUUCUAGAGUCACUACACUCCAUAUUCAGCCAUCUUCAACAUAAAAAGUUAGCAACAAUUAGUUUCUACAACAAAAAAUUAGUAAAAACUUAACCAAGAUUCCACAAUUGUUGACUAUUCCCUCCCCCCAACCAGAACGAAACAUUGUCCUCAAUGUUUUAAAGGAAAGAAGUAGCGUUUAGAAGACAUCACCUGGGUGGUGCAACACAAAAGAAAAUAUUUACAGGCGGAGAGUUAAAUCUAAUUUGUACUUCUUACUGCGGCUACUGUUACCAUCAUUAUUUGAACGCUCAAACACAAAGGUCCAGGGGUCUAGCUCCGGUCUAUAAGCUUGUAACAGAUCAAGUAGCUCAUUAGCAGUGUUAGCACAAAUAAAAAGUUUUUUCGCAUUGGAAGGAAUGAAGUAGUUUUUUAUUGCAUGGUUAAGAAAUGCGAUGAAGCCAUCAUAAAAAUUAUUGACAUUUAACAAACCGAUGGGUUUAUGGUGAAUGUGCAGAUGGGCCCAAGAUGCUAGUGUGAUAAGUGCCUCUAGUGUUGCAAGAUCUCCUGAAAGGAAAAUAAAAACAUCAACAUGAUUAAGCAUUUCAGUUAUUCGUUCUUGCAUACCUGAGACGACUAACUCUUCUCCAGUCGAUGAGUCAGAAAAACUGCCCAAGGUUUUAAGACUCUUGGGAUGAUGCCUAACACUUGGCUUCCUCUGAUAAAAGCAGCUUCUGAGACCAAUUUUGAUAACCCUCGGUUACCUCCUCCAUACACCAAGUGUAAUUUUCUCUCUACUAUGGUUCGACCAAGAUCUAUGGCUGCAUCAACGAACUCUUUAUGUUUGCUAUAGGUAAAUCCAGAAAGCACACAAAUGUUCUUGAAUUGUCUAUUAGGAGUAGCUGCCAUUGGAAUAUUUCUCAAAAAUAAUUUGUGAGUGCUUAACAAAAAGUCAUAUUUAAGAAUCUUGGUGACAGUGGAUCACAACUGUGUAUGAGGUGGCAUGUCAGUGUCAAAUAACGCGUAAAGCACAUGGCUCGAUAGUCAAAAAGCAAAAAGGGAAAAACAAACUGUAAUAAAAUUAUUAAAGACAAUAAUGCAAACAAUAAAACAACAGUGAAAUGAAAUAAAAUAACAGUAAAGUAAAAGGAUAUUUACAGGUAGUUGCGACUGUGGCUCACAUCUUCCUCUGGUUUUACGUCCAGAAACGGCUUGAACGCCCUCUAUGGGUCGAGGAUAGGCUUCCCAUCCAGUUUUCUUAUAAACUGGCAAACAGGGUAGUUUAUAGUCAGAUUCCCAAGACUAUAUCGUGCAUGCUCUUUCUGGAAUAAUGGCCAUAACUGGAGAAUCGCUCCUUGCAUAUAUCCACUGGGAUGCGUUUCAAGAGACAGAAGGAUAUCAUCCGAUGACUCCUUAUUCAAGCCAUCCCUAAUGAAUUGAAUCUUAUCUUCCCUGUUAUCAGAUACCAUUCCUAAAGAACAUGGGUUUUUAUCGCAUCUCAUUCUGGCACACUUAUGACAAGCAACAGAAAUUCUUCGAGCUCGUCGUUUUCUUGCAUAAUUUCCUUUACCAAAACCAGACAUGUAUGCAAUAAAUUUUGGAGGUAACUCACCUGACAAUCGUACUUUAGCCUCGAUUAACCAACGGAUGUCAACAUGUAUGUUAUUCCUCAUGAGCAAUCGCAUGCGUUCGGACCGGGCUUUAUAGAUUGUAAGGAGGGCAUUCUGAGGAAGUGAAGGGAAUCGCUUGUGAAGCUUCGCUAGAAUCUCGUUUCUGUCCAUACCUUCGCCUCAGAAUAUCAGUUAUUAUGGGAAAACUGAAGUAACCGACUUGAUUGUCACGGAGUACCGUUAUCCGCCACUUCACCGGGGUAACACACUAAAGCACACAAACAUAAAAAUAAAUUAAAACACACAAAGAAAAUUAAAAUCGUCCUCUUAUUGAAUUUACCUCAAGCUCCAACUGGAUGUCGUAAACACUUCUCUCAAUGUCUCUGAGUUGGCUUUCUAAACCCUCAACAUAGGAUACUAACUCUGGUGGUUGCAGAGCCCAAAUAUGAUGUGUUUUACAAAAUUGAAUCUGCCUUUUGAGAUGAGUUUUGACACGUUGAAGUGGUUUAAGAAUGUUCAGGAGGAACGAUCUAAGUAUAGUACUCAUGAUUAACAAUGAUAAGAGAAAAGGUAAUAGUUAAAAAAACACACUUAUGCAAAAUAAUUUCAAUUAGCAAAAGAAUAAUAUAAAGAAAGAAAAACAAAUCAAAUCACCGAAAAGAAAAAAAAAUCAAUUCAAAUAUGGUGGGUCACUCAAAUUUAUUUCGGUGUCUUCUCCAUGUGGUUGGUACUCUAGAUAUGGCUUUAAUCUUUGACUAUUAACUUUAAAUGUGACACCGUUCUUUGGGUCCUUAAUUUCAAUUGCCCCAUGUGGAAAAACAGUAUGAACAAUAAAUGAACCAGACCAUCGAGAGCGUAACUUACCUGGGAAUAUGUGCAAGCGAGAAUUGAACAAAAGCACUUUCUGACCUGGAGUGAAAGAUUUUCUCAUAAUUUGCUUAUCGUGAAAGACUUUCAUUCGUUGCUUGUAAAUCUUGGCAUUUUCGUAUGCAUCAUUGCGAAUUUCUUCAAGUUCUGCCAGUUGUAAUCUUCUUUCUGAGCUGGCUUGCUGCAUGUCAAAAUUGAAUUUCUUGAUGGCCCAAUAUGCACGAUGCUCGAGUUCCACAAGUAGAUGGCAAGCUUUUCCAUACACUAGCCUGUAGGGUGACAUCCCAAUCGGGGUCUUGAAAGCCGUUCUAUAUGCCCAUAAUGCAUCAUCAAGUCUUAAUAACUAAUCUUUUCUGUCUGGCCUUAUCGUCUUUUCUAGUAUGUGUUUUAUUUCUCGAUUGGAGAUCUCAACUUGGCCACUGGUUUACGGAUGAUAUGGGGUCGCCACUUUGUGAUUGAUUGAAUACUUUGUCAAAAGAGCUUUGAAUGCUUUAUUACAAAAGUGGGCACCACCAUCACUGAUUAUCGCUCGAGGGAAUCCAAAGCGCGAAACAAUGUUGCUUUUCAAAAAUCCUAUCACCACCUUGUGAUCAUUGGUUCUGCAUGGAAUUGCUUCUACCCAUUUCGAUACGUAGUCAACAGCAACCAAUAUGUAUUGAUGGCCAAAAGAAGGGGGAAAAGGUCCCAUGAAGACGAUACCUCAUACAUCAAAAAUCUCAACCACUAAAAUUGGAUUUAAUGGCAUCAUGUUCCUUCGUGUAAUGCUCCCCAUUCGUUGACACCUAUCACAUGAAGAACAAAAGGUGUAAGCGUCUCGAAAUAUAGUUGGCCAAUAGAAACCACAUUGUAAAACUUUAGUAGCUCUUUUCUUAGCACUGAAAUGGCCUCCACAAGCUUGUUCAUGGCAGAAUGAAAUGAUAUUUUGAAUUUCACUUUCUGGGACACAUCGUCUAACAAUUUGGUCUGCACAAUACUUGAACAAAUACGGGUCAUCCAAAAAAAAAUUCUUUAUUUCUGCAAAGAAUUUAGCCUUAUCUUGCUUGGUCCAAUGCUCUGGAAGUUGACCUGUAACAAGAUAAUUAACUAUAUCAGCAUACCAAGGUAAUACUUCCACACUCAUUAAUUGUUCAUCUGGAAAUGACUCAUUCAAUGUUAAUGGCUCUAUAAUUGUGUCAAAAUGGAGACGGGAGAGAUGGUCAGCUAUAACAUUCUCUGUGCCUUUCUUAUCUUUAAAUUCCAAGUCGAAUUCCUGCAAAAGUAACACCCAACGAAUUAGUCUAGUUUUUGCAUCUUUCUUUGUGAGAAGAUAUUUAAGAGCAGCAUGAUCUGUGAAUAUAAUUAUUUUACAACCAAUGAGAUAAGAUCGAAAUUUCUCUAAUGCAAACACUACUGCUAGCAUUUCCUUUUCAGUAGUUGAAUAGUUCAACUGUGCAUCAUUCAAUGUCAUACUACCAUAGUAAAUAACAUGGGAAAUUCGAUCAACUCUUUGUCCUAAAACUGCUCCUACUGCAUAAUCAGAUGCAUCACACAUGAGCUCAAAUGGUAAGCUCCAAUUUGGGGGCUGAAUGAUGGGUGAUGAUGUCAACAAUUGCUUUAAUUUUUCAAAAGCCACAAGACAUGAAUCAUUAAAGAUAAAAGGUACAUCCUUAGCAAGUAGAUUGCAUAAGGGUCUAGAAACUUUGCUAAAAUCUUUAAUGAAACGUCUAUAAAAACCAGCAUGCCCAAGGAAAGAUCUUACUUCUCUGACUGUUUUGGGUGGAGGAAGAUUAGAAAUGAGAUCCACCUUGGCUUUGUCAACCUCAAUACCUUUGCUCGAAAUGAUGUGACCGAGAACAAUACCUUAUUUUACCAUAAAAUGGCACUUCUCCCAAUUUAAGACUAAGUUCUUUUCGAUACAUCUCUGCAGAACUAGUGUUAGAUGAUGUAAACAUUGAUCAAACGAGUCACCAAAGACAGAAAAAUCAUCCAUAAAGACUUCAAGGAAUCGUUCAACCAUAUCAGAAAAAAUGCUCAACAUGCAUUGUUGAAAUGUAGCAGGUGCAUUACAUAAUCCAAAUGGCAUUCUCCUAUAUGCAAAUGUGCCAAAAGGGCAAGUGAAAGUAGUUUUCUCUUGAUCUUUUGGUGCUAUGGGAAUCUGAUUAUAUCCUGAGUAGCCAUCUAGAAAGUAAUAAAAUUCAUGGCCUGCCAAUCUAUCAAGCAUUUGAUUGAUAAAUGGUAAAGGAAAAUGGUCUUUACGUGUGACAGAAUUCAACUUUCUAUAAUCAAUGCAUACACGCCAUCCUGUAGUCACUCUAGUGGGUAUCAAUUCAUUAUCGGCAUUGGUAACUACUGUGACUCUUGACUUUUUAGGGACAACUUGUACAUGACUGACCCAUGAACUAUUAGAAAUUAGGUAAAUGAUACCUGCGUCUAAUAGCUUAAGGACUUCAGUUCUAACAACUUCUUUCAUGUUAGGAUUUAACCGACGUUGCAUUUCCUUAGUAGAUUUAGCAUUUUCAUCAAGGUGAAUGUAAUGCUUGCAGUCUACUGCGUUUAUACCUUUGAUGUCUACUAUAGUCCAUCUUAAUGCUCCUUUGUGCUCUUUUAAAACAUCCAACAACUUAGCUUUUUGUUCGUCAUUGAGGGAUGAUGAGAUGAUUACCGGCAGAUAACUUUCUUCUCCCAAAAAUGCAUAUUCCAGAGUGUUGGGCAAUGGUUUGAACUCGAGUUUCGGUGGUGAUUCUGAUGAUGGGAUGAGUUUAUUUUCUGAUGGUGCUAGUUGUUCAACUCUUGACUUCCAUUUAUUAGUGUCCAUGGAUGAUGCUGAGUUAAGUAGAGCGUUGACCUCAUCGACUGAUCUAUCAAUAUCAAAAUCCAAACCAAAAUGAGUUAAACAUGUUUGUAAAGGAUCAUCACUAAGAUUUGAAACAAAAGUAUCAUCAACUAAUGCUUCAAUUAAAUCCAUAUCAACAAUUCCAUCAUCUGCAUUGUGAGGUUGUUUGGCAAUGUUGAAGAUGUUUAGCUCCAUAGUCAUGUUGCCGAAGGACAACUGCAUAUUUCCAGUCCUGCAUUGAAUGUGAGCAUCUGCAGUUGCUAAGAAAGGUGGGCCUAGAAUAAUGAGGAUGUGCUUCUUUGAAUCCUGUAUUGGUUGAGUGUCAAUUACAAUGAAAUCAACAGGAAAAUAAAACUUGUCUACCUGGAUAAGCACGUCCUCCACAAUACCACGAGGUAUUUUCGUGGACCGAUCUGCAAGCUGUAACAUCACUGGAGUUGGGUGUAAUUCUCUCAAUCCAAGUUUUACGAAAACUGAAUAAGGCAACAAAUUUACACUAACUCCUAAAUCCAACAAAGCAUUCUCAAUUGUGUGGUUCCCUAUACUACAUGAGAUAGUGGGGGAGCCUAGGUCUUUGCAUUUUAGAGGAAUUUUAUGUUAGAGGAUAGAACUAACGUUUUCUGUUAAAAAUGCCUUCUUUUGAACAUGAAUGUUUCUCUGUUUAGUACAAAGGUCUUUAAGAAACUUGGCAUAAGAUGGAACUUUCUUUAUAGCAUCAAGCAAAGGAAUGUUAACACUUACCUAUUUGAAGAUUUUAAGAAUCUCACUUGUGGAUUUCCCCUUUUUUCCUUUAGCUAACCUCUGAGGAAAUAGAGCUUUGGGAACAUAUUCUCGUGGGUUGGUUUCUUCUUUCUCCUCCGAUGAUGAGUCCUCAAUAUUCACAGGUACAAUUUGAUUCUCUUUUGUCACCGGCAUCUCCACUUUAUUGUCGACUUCUUUUCCUUUUCGCAAGGUCAUGGCAGCUUUGACCUCUCUAUGCUGUUGUGGUGAACUGGUACUUGCUUCAUGUACUCCUUUAGGAUUAGGCACUGGUUGACUUGGAAACUUGCUUUUCUCAAUAGUCAUUGCCAAGGUCUGAACUGAAGAAGCAAGUUGUCCCACCAUCUUCUCGAGGUUUGAAACUGAUUGGGCUUGUGAGUUGAAGCCCGCUCUCAACUCAUUUUGUAGUCCAUCAAUGGUGCGGUUCUGUUGCUCAAUCGUAGAGUGAGUAACAUUCUUCAAAUUCUGGAAUGCAUCCUCCCAUGGUCUGGGUUGAGAGUAUUUCUGGUUCUGAUUGUAUGGUCUAAAUGGUGGCUGAGAGGCUUGAGGAACUUGAGGAAUUUGUUGCAUUGGUGGAGCUGGAGCUGCUGGUCCAUUCUGUUGGAAUCAUUGAGACCAUGAAAAAUUGGGGUGGUCUCUCCAUCCAGGGUUAUAUGUGUUGGAGUAUGGGUUGUAAUUUAAUGGUUUUCUCAUUACACAUAUGGUAUUGGCUUGAUCUGAGUAUGAGUCAUGGUCAUGUGGUUCUGUUGAUUUAGCAGUCGAUAACGAUGCUAUUUGUCGAGCGAGACCUUCAACCAUAUCCUUGACUUCUUUGAUUCCUGAAGUUGACUCACCAAUGUGAACCUCAUUCACUCCUUUAAUUCUUCUAGUAUUCCUGAGUGACCGACUCCGUUGUUAGGAAUUAUCCGCUUGUCGCUAGAAGAAUUCCCAAAUUUCUGAUGCACUUUUUGACAUUAGGUCUCCUCCACUUGUUGCCAUUAGCCAUUCUUGCACAUUCGGCAAUAAUCCCUCUAAAAUGUAUUGGCAUUGGUGCCAUUUCUCGUACCCAUGAUGUGGACACUUCAAGAGUAGCCCAUUGAAUCGCUCCCAUGUUUCGAAAAACUGCUCGUCAUCUCUCUUUGUAAACUCUGAAAUCUCCCUGCGAAUAGCAUUGGUUUUAUGCACUGGGAAAUAUUUAUUCAAAAAUUUAGUUACCAUUUGUUCCCAUGAUGCAAUGCUAUUAGCAGGCAAUAUAUUAAGUCAUGAACGAGCUCUAUCCUUUAAAGAAAAUGGGAAUAGUCUAAGUUUUACAUCAUCAUCUGAAAAAUUCUCAUAUUUAAAUAUUAGACAAAUAGCAUGAAAAUCAUUCAAAUGAUUAUAUGGGUCCUCAUUUUCUAGGCCAUAGAAUGUUGGGAGACAAUUUAGCACGCUAGGUUUUAGUUCAAAACUCCUAGCAACUACAUUUGGGUAUCUUAUGCAUGAUGUGCUCAAAUUAGCUAAAGGACUGAAGUAGUCCUUAAUUGGCCUCUCAUGUGGUUGCAAAUCCAUUUUAUUUUUAACUUGUUUGUGUGUGCGAAGUGUUUUCUCAAGUUCAAGAUCUAUAGAUUCAAGACUAGGUAAUAACGACCUUCGACCAUGCAUGCAAAACAAAUAAAAUAAAAAUAAAGAUGAGAACAAAACAAAUAAAAAUAAAGAAGAUAGAGAAAUUACGAUACUAACCUUAUACGCUGUUAAAACCUUUUUAUAAAAAUACACAAAAACAAAUACGUGAAAUAAAUUAACUAAAAAUAAAUUAAUAAGAUAAAAAAAAAUUUACAAAGAUAAAUAAAUUGAAAAUUAAAUUGCAGAAUUUUAAAGAAGAGAAAAAGAAAAGAAAUACUAACCUUUAAAUGUAGAUUCAUUUUUUUUCUUUUUUUUUAAUAAAAAAAUACAAGAAAACAAUUUAAAAGAAAUGAUUCACAAAACUUAAUUCUAUGAAUUAAAAUUACUUACCUCCCCGGCAACGGCGCAAAAAACUUGUUGUGCAAAUUUUAUUGAACUCGCAAGUGCACGAAUCUAUUGUAGAAUAGACUAAUGGUGACGAGUGUCGAUCCCACGAGGAGGUGGAUUUUAAUUGUGUGUAGAAUUAAAUUUGUAAAUGGGUGGUUGGAUUUGUGGUGAAAAUGAUUUGGAUUAUCCUAAAAUUGGAAUUGAAAUGGCGAGAAUAAAUUGAAGAGAAAUAUAUUGAGAUGACGUACUUGGGUAUCUGGAUCCGUAUCAACAUGCAUCAUGGGCUAAAUAAUCCUUAUUAAUGCCAAUUAAAUCAUGAGGGGGGAAUCCACAUCUCAUGAACCACGCUCUAAUCAAUAUGGUGCUAAGGGCUUAUCGUGCCAAAUAAUAAUAACUUUGUACUAGGGAGCCGGUGAAACCAAUGCGGUACUAGACAAAAUUAGUAUUAUUUGUCGACGAGAAGUCAAAACAUUCACAAAAAUUAGAGGGGAAGAGAAAGUAAAUUUACCAAAUAAAGCCCAUGACACAUGUUGAGACUUCACCUUCAACCCAAGCUUGAAAGAAAAUUAGCCACUCAUAAUUGAACUAGGGGCAAAAUAGGAAUUUAUUAAAAUACGUAGAAAAUACAAGAUGGAGAAGGAAUUACAGAAAAUGGAUCCCAAAAAUGGAUUCAGAGAUAUCAAAUUAGGGAGGGGAGGCCCCCUUUUUAUAGAUACAUCGAGUAAAUCAUGGCCAUCGGAUUAAAAACAGUUUGGACGCUCAGGAUUGCGCCACGUCAUCAGUCAACAGUACGCGUAAAUAGUAUGCGGUUUGACCACGUGGAUGAACAGUAACACGGUUUGACCUGGGUGAACAGUAACGCGGUUUGGUUGAAAAUAAUCGUGUGUGUUGCAUGUACUGUACGUGAGAUUUUUGGUCCACUGAUAUGCUGCCACGUUAUCGAUCAACAGUGCAUAAGAAUUUUAGUCGAACAGGAUCGUGACACCUCAUCUGUCAAUGCCACAUCAUCGGUCAAUGCCACGUCAUCGAUCCGUCUAUGUGAACAGUGUCGUGAACAGUAACGUAGACAGUACUGUACAUGUGAAUAGUACUGUACAUGUGAACAAUGCCAUUUUUCCUUUUAUGCUCCUCCUAAGGUUUUCGACCGUCCUGAGUUCAAAAGUGAUGUCCGUUUUACCGUCUGAUCUCUCGUUUAUUAUGAAAUGACUAUGACGCCCCUAAAAUACAUAAAACACUUAAUUAAAAUAAAACACACAAUUAAAUUACAAGAAGCUUAAACACAUAAAAGUAAGGGUUGUUAGUAAGACGUGAAAUGUAAAAUGACGAUUUUCUCCUUUAUAAAUAUGCAUUUUCUAACACUCAACACAUGUUGGUGAAAAAUCUUUGCAAACUCUAGUGAAGCAAGGCUUAUUGAAAGGUGCAAAUUCAUGCAAAUUAGAAUUUCGUGAACAUUGUGUUUUGGGCAAGCAGACAAGGGUAAUGUUUGGUUCAACAAUUCACAAUACAAAAGGGAUUCUGGACUAUGUUCAUAAUGACGUGUGAGGUCCUACCAAAACAACUUCUUUAGGAGGUAUGCACUAUGUUAUUACUUUUGUUUAUGAUUAUUCAAGAAAAGUGUGGGUGUAUUUGAUAAAGAAUAAAAGUGAAGUUUUGGGCACAUUUCUGAAAUGGAAGAAGAUGGUCGAGACUCAGAUUGGUCGAAAGGUCAAAAGACUUUGCUCAGAUAAUGGUGGUGAGUACAAGAAUGAUCUAUUUCUACAAAUAUGCCAAGAUGAGGGCAUUGUUCGACACUUCACUGUUCGAGAUACACCACAGUAGAAUGGGGUGGCAAAACGCAUGAACCGGAUAAUAUUGGAGAAAGUUUGGUGUAUGUUGUCCAAUGCUGGAUUGGGCAAAGAGUUUUGGGUUGAGGCAGUUGUAUAUGCGUGCCAUUUAAUCAAUUGUGUGUCAUCAACUGCAAUUGAGGGUAAAACACCCAUAGAGAUGUGGACUUGUAAUCCUACUAGUGAUUAUGAUUCUUUACAUGUUUUUGGUUCCACUGCUUAUUAUCAUGUAAAGGAAUGCGUUAGACCUAAGAACAAAGAAAGCAUUGUUCAUGGGUAUAACUGAUGGAGUAAAAUGAUAUCGUCUUUGAUGUCCUGGUAAAAAAAAGAUUAUUUUCAGCAGAGAUGUAACUUUUGAUGAAUAAACCAUGUUGAAACAAAAAGAUUCUCAAGAGAAUGACAAGACCAGUAGCACUUUCCAGCAGGUAGAGUUUGAAAAAGUUAAAACUGAUCCAGCUGGUGUCGAUGUGACAGAUAGUGAUUUUCCAUCGAUCGAAGAUGAUGAAGAGGUUCUGACCCAGGAACCUUUAGAGCAACAAGAUUCAAUUGCAUGUCGAAGGCCACGCAGAGAGAUUCGCAGACCUACUCGCUUUGUUGAUAUGGUGGCAUAUGCAAUUCUAAUUGUAGAUGACGAUGUUCCUUCCACUUACAGAGAAACAGUAAGUAACCCAGAAAGUAUACAAUGGAAGAGAGCAAUGAACGAAGAAAUGCAAUCUCUUUACACAAAUGAAACUUGGGAGUUAGUUAAACUGCCAAAGGAAAAUAAGGCAAUUGGGUGCAAAUGGGUAUAUGCAAAAAAGGAAGGAUUUUCUCGUAAAAAUGAAAUUCGAUACAAGGCUAGAUUGGUAGCGAAAGGUUGUGCUCAGAAUGAAGGAAUAGACUACAAUGAGGUAUUUUCUCUAGUUGUGAAACACUCAUAUAUUCGAAUUUUGCUAGCCAUGAUUGCGCAAUUUGAUCUUGAACUAGUUCAACUUGAUGUAAAAACUGCAUUUUUACACUGUGAUUUGGUAGAGGAAAUCUACAUGAUUCAACCAGAUGGAUUCAAGGUUGCUAGAAAAGAAAUUUGGGUUGCAAAUUGACAAAGUCGCUUUAUAGAUUGAAACAAUCUCUGAGACAGUGGUACAAGCGAUUUGAUCAAUUUAUGAAAGGGCAAUGGUAUACAAGAAAUAAAUUUGAUCAUUGUGUAUAUUUUCGCAAGCUACAAGAAGGAUCUUUCAUUUAUUUGCUAUUGUAUGUCGAUGAUAUGCUAAUAGCAUCCAAGAGUAAAGAUGAGAUUGAGAAGUUAAAGACUCAACUCAAUCAAGAAUUUGAAAUGAAAGAUCUAGGUGAAGUUAAGAAGAUUAUUGGCAUGAAGAUAUACAAAGAUAGAGCUCGUAGCAAAGUAAGCUUGUCUCAGAAGCAAUAUUUGAAGAAGGUACUACAGCAGUUUGGCAUAACUGAGCAGACAAAACCUGUAAGUACCCCAUUGGCUUCUCAUUUCAAGCUUUCUGCACAAUUAUCUCCUUCAACAGAUGAAGAAUGAGAAUACAUGUUACAAGUUCGGUAUUCAAAUGCAAUGGGUAGCUUGAUGUAUGCAAUGGUGUGUACAAUGACUGACAUUUCACAUGCAGUUGGUAUAGUGAGCAGGUAUAUGCAUAAUCCUGGUAAAGGACAUUGGCAAGCUGUGAAAUGGAUUUUACGGUACAUUCAGAAGACCAUGAAUAUUGGUUUACUGUUUGAGAGAGACGAUACAAUUGGUCAAGGUGUGAUCGGGUACGUUGAUUCUGAUUAUAUUGGUGAUUUGGACAAACGAUGGUCAACCACCGGAUAUGUAUUUACUUUGGCUGGAGGGCCAAUCAGUUGGAAGUCUACACUAUAGUCUAUAGUUGCAUUGUCGACAACAGAGGCCGAGUACAUGGCGAUUACAAAGGCUGUUAAAGAGGCUAUUUGGUUACAAGGCUUGCUUGAAAACUUAGGAUUUGCACAAAAGCACAUUAAUGUGUAUUGUGACAGUCAAAGUACUAUUCAUUUAACAAAAACAAGUUUAUCAUGCGCGUACGAAGCACAUCGACGUAUGUUUUCAUUUUGUGCGGGAAAUUGUUGAUGAGGGGAAGAUAGACAGAGACUAGAGGAUGGUUUGUUGAUAGUCGGCUCAGAUUUACUAAAUUUUCGCCAAGGUAGAGAAUUGUUCAAAAGUCAAGUAUGUUUGCAUGAGCCAGCUAGCAUGCAAAUUUCAAGCACAUCAAUUUUGAGCUAACGUGAUCCAAUUGCAUGUGCUAGCAUGAUCUCGCUACCAAAAGUCACACCAAAGUCAUUAAAAUUGAAAAUGGCCAAAGUUUUUUUCAUGCAUUCAUAUUGUAAGCUUUGCCUAUAAAUAGAGGAGUAGAAUGCAUUUGUAACGCAUCCCAAUUUGUGAGAAGUAGAGAGCAAUUGUAAGUGAGCUGUUUGAGAGAAUUUGAGAGAGCUUCCACUUGAGUGUUUAAGUGAAGUUCCAUUUGGGUGUAUUGGGGUUGUGGGUUUUGUGAGUUUUUCCCACUUUUGUAAAUUCCCAUUAUCAGUAAAAUUAUCUUACAGUCUUUGCCCAUGGACGUAGGCUUUAUGUCGAACCACGUAAAUUAUUGUGUCAUAUUUUCUUUGCAUUUAUUUGUCAUAUUUAUAUUUCUCCAAAAGUUACAGUUAUCGUAAUAUUGGUAAUUGCUCAACCUCACACUUCCGCAACAUAAAGCUCUCUUUGACGUUCCCACCUAAGCAUGAUUAAUUUAAUAUAAUUUUAUUCGCUUUAAUUAAUUUAAUAUGUAUAUAUGCAUGUUUUAUUCUUUGCAGAACGUAUUUGCUGUUGGAACAAACACAAGUGCAACAACUAUGGUUUGGUCCAUGACCUACCUAAUGAAUAAUCCUAGAGCAAUGAAAAAAGUUCAAAUGGAAAUCAGAUCAUUGAUUGGGGGCAACAAAGGCUUUGUAAAUGAAGAUGACGUUCAAGAAAUACAUUAUCUUAAAGCAGUAGUGAAGGAGACGAUAAGAAUGCAACCCACAGAGCCGUUACUACUCCCAAGAGAAACAAUUGAGAAGUGUAUAAUAGAAUGGUAUGAAAUACCAGCUAAAACACAUGUUUUUGUAAUUGCGUGGGCGAUAGGACGAGAUCCUGAAACUUGGCAGAAUCCUGAGGAAUUUUAUCCCGCAGGGAUUAGUUGAUAGUUGUAUUGACUUUAAAGAGCAACACUUUGAGUUAAUACCAUUUGGUGCUGGCAGAAGAAUUUGUCCUGAUUUGAAUAUGGAAAUUCAAAUGUGGAUCUUGCACUUGCUAAUCUUUUUUACAAAUUUGAUUGGCAAAUGCCGCCUGGAAUGAAGAGCCAUGACUUAGAUGUUCGGCCUGGACUUGCCAUGCAUAAGAAGAACAUUCUUUCUAUUAAUUUAGUCGUAUGUUAAUGUUUUUUUUUAUAUUGUUAUGCAGUGAAUCAAGAGUCUAGGAAGAAAAAAUUAUGAUUUUGAACUUUCAUAAAGAUUCAAUAGCUCAGUACAUGUUUGUUGGGAGAACAUGUACCUCCCGGUUCGAGCGGAGAUUUCUAAUCUGAGUUGUGGUGCGGACUUAAAAAUGUCUCCCACAGUUGGGGCCCUCCCCAAAAUACCUCGUGGUUAAGACAAAAAAAAAAUAUAAAGCAAAAACCAUAAGGGAACGAGAUUUAAUGAAGGAAUUAGCAAGUGACGAAUAUUCCCAACACAAACAUGGGCAGGAGCUUGUCACUUAGUUAUAGUUCAUUGUCUUCGAUAACGUGAGAAACAUAAAUGCAGGCAUUUGGAGACUGAUUGUUUAUACAAAACAAGACAUGAUUAUACUCUCUCCCUCUUUUGUUAAACAUUUUACAUUGUUUAUUGUGAAAUAUAUAUAUUCCAAUUUAUCAUCAGUAGCUAGGAGAAUACACAUGCAUGUGGAAAUUUUCUAAUCCCAUGCAUGAGAGAGGAUAUAAUUAAUGUGAUCAUAUAUUAAAUAUCUAACAACCUAAUCCUAUACAUUUAGCUAGAUGAGAUUAAUUAGUACCAGAUAUCAUUAGCAUAACAUAAAAAUAAACCAAUAAUAAAAAAGGAAGACAAUAGAAUAAAUAAAAACUCCAAAAGUUAUACAUUACCUAGUUUUUAUGUGUCAUCAUUAAUUGGCGAGGCAUCUGUAUGGAGACCCUGUAUGAAUUUCUACUCCUAAAUUUUUGGGCUAAUAGAAUCUAUUCGGUUUUUUUAAUGUCCUAAAUAAAAAUUUAGGACUUUAAUUAGUUAAUUAGGCCUAAAAGUUUAAUAAUAUAAAUAUUUUGAUAUUUGUUAUUUUUACUAAUUUUUAUAAUUUUAUAAUUUAAAUUUUAUUAUUUAUUUACUAGUAAUUUUAAAAAAUAACAAUAAAAAUUAAAAUUAAAAUUAAAAUGGGGAAAUGGGUAGUGGAUGGGGAUUCCACCUCAUCCCCGUCCCCUCCCCUCAUACCCUCUCCGAAUGGGGAAAAUUCCCGAGGGUACCCGUCCCGUGAGGAUUUUUGUCAUCCCUAAGUAUUUUUAAGCAAACAAACACGUGCUCUCCCCGUGACCUUUAAUGCUCAUAACGCACCAAAACGCUGCCAUUUUAUGUCUGACGAGUUUGAUUCACCAGCAGGCCUCACAGCUCACAACCAUUAUUUGUAGAAUUGGUUUUGGCAAGAGGUACGUGAAGAUGAAGCAACAAGUGAAAGAAGUAGAUUCCAUGCCUUGCUUGAUGAAACUCAAGCCUUGCUUGUAAGCUUCUUUGUUACAGGUUAUUUUCCUUUCAUAGGAAUGUUGCAACGCCCGCAAAAUAACUUCCAAGAAAUCGACAGAGUCUACCAGGAACUCAUAGACAAGUUUCUGGAUCCAAACUGAACAAAAAUAGAACAGCUGCAACAGGAGGAUGUAAUUGAUGUUUUACUUCAAAUACGAAAAGACCGUGGAUUUAAAGUUGAUCUGACUAUGGAUCACAUCAAAGCAGUGCUCAUGGUUGAUAAUUUUAUAAAUAGUUAAUUAUUCUAACUCAUGCUUAGGGGCGGACUCAAAAAUUUUGUGCAGAUACCCACUCUUACGGUGUUGUAGAACAUUUUACAACAUUUAAAGUGCUCUCUGAUGUUCCCAUCUGAGCAUAAUAUUUACUAAGAAAAACAUGUAUAUAUAGUUGACUGAAAUAGAAUUCAAGGAAGACAUUACAUAGUACGAAUUUGAUUUAUUUCGAUGGAGUUUGAUUAAUGAAAGUAUAUGAAAGUGUAAAGAAAGUGGUAAAAAAAUUUGGUUAUGUAAAAGUUAUAUAGGCAACAUAUUAUUGUCAUAUUCCUAUUAAGGUACAUUUGAUUGUGAUGAUUAUGCAAAUAAAAUAGAUCCAUAUAUGUCUUUAAAGAUGGUUUUGACUUAAACUCGCGGAGUGUUGUAUGCUCAAUUUUGAGUUCUAUUAUUAGCCUUGCACCUAUCCUGGAUUAUUUCGAGGGUAGAUAAAAUUAAUUCUAUUAAUGCUAUCAUGUUUUCUUCUUCAAAUGAAUCGAAUAUUUCUGGAUCAUUAAUUCCUUUUAUUUCUUCAUUGUUUGCUUGUAGUUAAUCUAGUUUUAACCACAGAAAUUGUAUAACCAACUUGAUAUUCUUGACUAAAGUCUAAAUGAUCAAUUGCAUCUAGAAAUUUAUUAACAGAUCUUUCCAUUUUUAAGAAAUUGAGUUACUCUUAUCACUUCCUAUCUUGUAACAUCUCUGAAAGUAAACAGGGCCUAACAUGCUUCCAUUUGUGGCUAAAAUAAAAGAAGAGUUCAGAUCACUAACCAGUGUACUAUCUCUUGAAAUUUUAAAAUAGACUCACUAAUUACCUCCAACCAUAGAGAGAUUCAUGGUUGGCACUGCCAUAGCUCCACACAUCAUACAAGAUCACUUCAGUGAUUGUUCCACACAGUCCAACGUAACACACAACAGACUGACCUAAUAGGAUAUGUCUAAGUGAUUUCCUUGCAGUUGUCUCUGGAAGAAUGCUUAGUAAUAGAAAAUCUUCUUCAUUUAGCACAAGUAUUGGCAUGUAAGUUUCCUGGUUAGUUUUCAAAGGAUAUAUAAGAUAUUUGGAAGAUGAUAAUUUCACUCAAAAGAGGUUUAUUUAUUUCAUUAUUGAAAUUGUUUACAGAUGAUGGUUACAGAGAAUACAAAGAUAGGUGAAGGUUAGACAUAUGAUGUAUUUUCCUUCUUACAUGUUUCUAUUUAUCCUCUUAAAGAGAUAAGGUUAUCUCUUUUACAUGACAUAUGUUCAAAUUUCUUAGUGGAUCGUGGAUUCCCUUUUGAUAAGGUGACCCCUAUUUUUUUUAUCAUUAAAGACAGUAGUUGUCUUUUUUUCCUAAUGGCAGACAAUUUUAUCUUGUUGUGGUGAGCUUUAUCUUUUUGGAAUAUUUCUUUUUGAAUUUUUUAUGCUUUUAGGAUAGCAUCUUUUAUCUUUUUCAAUGGGCCCUGUCACAUGUCAAUUAUUAGAUCUUCAUCUAAAGACAUUUCUUCCCCAUAAGAAUCUCCUUUUGAUCCUUCGUAGCAGUAGCCACAUGAUGACUGAUACUUUAGCACCUUGCAUAUCUCGUGGUGCAUCUAGAGACAUGUCUUCUCCGCUAGAAUCUCCUUUUGAUCCUUCGUAGCAGUAGCCACAUGAUGACUGAUGCUUUAGCACCUUGCAUACCUUGUGGUGUGUUAGUAAGCUGGAUUCCACGAGAUUUUCAUAUAUAUAUUUUUUUUCUUUUUAAAUAUGCCAUGUCUGGCUAAAAUACUUUCUUUUCUACUCAUAGAAAAUAUUAUAUGCUCUUUUGUGGCUUCGUGAAGCCAUAUUUUCUCCUUACUUAUCUUCUCAAGAGAUUUAUAGAGGACUUUCAUUCCUAUGGUCCUUUUGCUAGUGAGAGCUUUGGGCUUGAAUAAUUCAGGAUGAUAAUCAUUGUAGACUUGAUGAUUAAACAAUUGUUUCGUCCUUUUUUAUAUUUUAAACCAAAAACUUGGCUCUAAUACCAUUUUUGAGGACAAAUUCAACCCAAAAUCCAAGUAAGGAUGUAUAUGAUUAAUUUUCAAGAUUUUAUGAAAAUUUUGUAAUUAUCCUUUUUCAAAACUCACCGUUUUGUACAAACUUUUGUGCAAUCCUCUGUGAGGAUGUCUUUUUCCAAUCUUGUUUUAUCCUUGCGCCAUCUUUUACUGCUGUCUUUUAGCCCCGGACAUCAUUAUCAUUUUUCAACCGUUUCAACAGGCUGGCCACCACAAACUGUUUUAAUGCAUUUAUCCACAUCCGUUCUUUUUCGGAAGCAAAAUCAAACGUUCAUCAUUUCGUGUUUGUUGCAUACAUUCGCAUGUAACGUAGCAGGGGCCUUUUUGACAUAUCACAACAGUUUUUCCUUUUCCUUUUUCUUAAAUGAAAUACUGUUGUGUUAGAAUUUACGUUCCACGUAAAGUUGACGGUAAAAACUAAAUUCCGAUUUGAGUAUUGAGAUCCCGUUUCGAAAGGUAUGAGAUUCAAUGCUAAUUUUUAAAAUCGAUUUGGAAUUGGUCGGAAUUUGAGACAAAAUUUUGUGUCUAUUAAUGAUUGGGAUGGGAUCGAGACAAUCAACGAAGUCGUUGCUAGCGAUUACAGGCUCAGGCAUAAUACUUUUACAUCCAGCUUUUUCUGAUUUUCUUUUAAGUUACAUUAUACGAAAUACUUGUGACUGCACUGCGCAUGUGUCUUUGAUAGUUCAAUUAAGGCUCCAUAACUGAUGGAAGCCCUUGGAAACUGGUAAUUUGAGUCAUUUGCAGUUGAUGUUCCAGAAGGAAACGCCAAGGUUGAGACAUGUUACUUUCGGAUGCUUUUCCUUUAAGGCCUAUUUUUUUUUUUUUAAUUUAUAGCUUUUAAUAUCAUUUUAAAUUUGUCCGAAAGUAUCUUUUUUACCAAUAAUGUUUGUAAAUCAAGAAAUAGUUAAAAUUCCGCUAGGUGAAAAUACAAGUUUGGAAUUUUAUUUUUGAGUGCAGACGAAUUUUAUUUUUUAAUUGUGGCUGAGUUAGGUAUAGGUAAAUCUAUACUGAAACAGUAAAACUCACUCAUUGCCAUCCGUAAGAUUGCUAUAAGGUUAAAUAAAUAAAAGAAAUUAAAAGAUAAUUCUGUCUGAGGAUACAAAUAAAAUCGGAGCCUUAACAAUCUUCGUUGGAAAAAAAAAAGAAGAAAAAAAGAAAGAAACACUAUACGCAUCCUUUACUCCACUUAAUUUUUCAUUUAAAAGUCUAUUGUAGGUGUAAAUUACGGCACCUCCACCAAUAGGGGUGCGAUCUAAACGUAAUAUACAUUAUAGAGAUUGAUGUCCAUGUGCUCCCACAGUUUUAAGUAAUUUUUUGCUUAUCAAAAAAAAAUUUUUUUUUUUGAAUGAACUAUCCAAGUCCGAUAUAUCCGAGUGGGUAAUUGCACAUUAUCUAUUCCCUGAUGUCACAUAUUUUUGUCUUUCACUGUCCUUAAAUUACAAUGAAAUGGAAUAAUAUUGGCAACAGUAGAAAAUAUAAUAAGUAAAAAAUUUAUAAAAAUAAUGUUUUGUUUUAUAAUGAAAAGUUUAAAUAGAAAUAUGAAAGUAAAAAGUUAAACACAAAAUAAAAUAAAGAAAGAUAAAAGAAUUUUUUAAAAGGAGAAAUAUAUUAUCUUUAAUUAGAAAAUGUUUCAUUUUAAAUAAGAACUAUAAUUUGUCAUUUUAUUAUAUUUGAUUUAGUUUAAUUUGAUUGUAUUUAUUUCUUGGAUUAGGGAAUGAUAAUGAUAUUCAUUCCUUAUUGGUAGUGCUUACUUGCAAAAAAUAUGGAGGAAUAAGAAUAGAUUUUGGGUGGAGUCCAUAAAUUUGAAAAAAAAAGAAUGAGAAUCUCAUUGGCAUGAGUAGAGGUGGGAAUACAAAUUGGGGAAUGAAUUUUUAUCUUUAAAAAAAUAAAAAUUCCUUUUUUAUCUCAUAUUAAUAUUAAAUUAUUAUUAUUAUUGAUGUUAUUAUUUAUACUAAAAAUAUUUAUUAUUUAUUUUUUUAGUGAACAAAUACAUAACUGUAACUAAGGUCAUAUAAGUAUCUUACAACAAUUUAUUACGAUUAUAAGAUAAAAUAGACACAUUAAUUAGAAUAUAAUUUAUUCUAAUUCUGAUUCUUGCAGUUCAAGUAUAAAUUUAUUCUAGUUCUUAUUUUACAUUUUAAUUCCCGUAUAUUUCGAUAUUAGCCUAUUCUAAUUCCUAUCUAUUUUGAUCCCGAAAAAAUAAAUGAUCUAAUUCAAUUAUAAUAGGGGCAUUAGAGGCUAAAUUUAAACUUAAAGAGUAGUUCCGAUAUUAAACCAUAUUUUAAGGACAUCAAUGAAAAUGUAAUCAACAAAAAAAAAAAAGUUACACCAUCAUCGUUUUGUUGGCAACAAUAACGUUGAAGUGGUCUGUCUCCUUGCGAGUUGUGCGACCCCUUCGGUCGCAAGGAGAUGCCAAUCUUUUCAAUUUGUCGAUUUGCUUUCCUAAAGCAAUAAAAUAAAACUCAAAGCCCCACUUCAAAACUUGUGCAAGAAGGAAAUGUAACUGACGUAUGCUGUCUUUCCAUUUCUUGGUGCAUGUAUAUAUAAGUCUGAAUAUCAGCUGAGUCGGCCAACACCUGCAAGCAAUUUUAGUUUUUCGGUAAGUAUUGUUUCCUUAUCCUAUGAAUUUAUCUUCAAAUUUAUUAUAUUUUCACUUCAAUUGUUUCUUAGUUUGGUUUAAUGUAGUGCGAAGUUAAUUUAUCAACAUUCCACCACAUAAGCGGCACUGGAAGGACCCACAGAGGCCAUCUCCAGCUCCACAGAUGCUUGUGCCUAAAUUCAACAGAAGCUUAAACUUGGGAUUGCCCAAGCUUAAUGAAGACAGGAGUGCAAAUAUUGUGCAUGCAAGGCAUGCCGUAUUCAGGUGGUUUGCCGUAGGCUUGGAUGGUGAUAGCGGCUUUCCUACUUCUUUCCAAUCUGAACCGUCCUCAGUGGAGCCUGUUGAGCAUAAAAGAGGAGUAAAGCCGUUAGUUUUAGUGAACAACAAUCUGGCUGAAGGUUAGUGUUCUGCCUUUUUUUUUUUGUUUUAUCUUAAUUUGUUCUACUUUCGUUCUUGAUUUAUGUCUGGUGUUAACUUUGCUUAUGUGGACAUUUGGCUUUCUCGUUGGUAGAUAAUGAUGAAGUGAGGGGGAAUAUAUGAAGAAGCCCAGGGGGACCGGCAGCAGAAAAUGUAUGGCCAGACGUGUUGAGUGCUUAUAAGAUUGUCAAGAACGAAUUGGAGAAAAAGCCAACAAUUGCUAGAUUUGGCGAAGUUCAUUUCCAUAGAUAUGUGAUCUGGUUCCCAUUGCUGCUACAGCGUGAAUGUUUUGUGUUAGAUCAUUCCUCUCCUUUCUUUCGACUUUGAACUUAAAGCAAACAAAAAUGCAUAUUUAUACUAAAUCUGACAGACAUCUUGUGUUAGUAUUACUUGAUUUCUGGUAUGAGAAACAAAUCAAUCUCUUGCCGCCGUGAGUCCGUGACCAAGUUUUAUUGUUUGAAUUUUCAUAGGGACAACACAUUAUAUCAUUGCUUGACCUUAUUUCUUGCAGUAAAAAUGAUUCCAUUCUUCUAUCACAUUUUUGAAACAUCCAUUAGUUUUUGUAUUACAAGCGCCUCAAAGAAGUAAUUAUAUCAUUCAUCUCGAUGCAGGAACAAUUUACUGCACUUAGGAAGUGAAAAGGAAGGUCAGGUUGCUGAAGAAACCACUUUGAGGCAAAUGAAGUGAUCCUUUUACUCAAAUGUCCCUGCUACAUACAUGGAAGACAUUAUAAAUGAAGUUAUGCCAAAAAUUGGAGUUUAUUUUGAAGAGUACAAGGAUAUAUAUACCAUGUCAAGGUAGUUCUUCUGCUAAAAUCUUCAGUAUUAGUGAUCAAGUUUCGUUUAUCUCCCACUUAAUUAACCAUUGAUUCUUCCUACUCCCCGCCCCGGCAGUGUAGUUGCCUGACAGCAGGCGACAAAACUCAACUAUUUCAUGCAAAUCUACUGUUAAAGAAGAUAAAACACUUGAGCUCUAGAAGGCAAGUUUUCUGCUCCUGGCUAACUAUUCUUUAUGGACAAUGGAUCGAAUAUUGUGUUUGUUGCCUGUGUUUUAAAGGAGAUUUUUGCUACUUCAAACAUUGCAACAGGACUUUUGCUGUUUUGAAUUAAAUAGAUGAGGGUUUGAAUUUAAUCUUUUCAAUGUGAAUCAUGAAGGAUCUAUUCAAAAUAAAAGUGAUAAAGAUUAAGAAUGAACUUAAGAAACUAAGAGCUUUUAGAAAUCUUUGAAGAAAUAAUAUCAAUUUGAUAGGAAAAGAAUUUAAAAUGAAGAAAAAAAGAUAAUUGAUAAGAAGUAAGACUAACUGUACAUCUGAUUGAGGAACAGGCUUGUUAAUUCAAACUAUUAUAACCAAUUGGGAAUUGAAUUAAGUUAACAGUUAACUCGUAAUUGAAUGUCUAAACUAACAAUGUAUACAAUUACAGAUGAGACUAUAAAAUUGCAAAGAUACUGCUGAUUGUGAAUCAAUUUGAACAUGCCAAUCCUUAGGAAUUCCUUUCAGUAUCAUGGGAUUUAGAUCUCAAUUAUCUUUUUUUUUAUUUGAGUACGGUGACAUCCCGAACUAUCAAAAAUACCCACUUGUCCAUACAUGCCUAUGUCCACUUUAUCAUUUAUUUAUGAAAUGUUCUAAUUAAAUGGGGCAAGUCCAUAUAAUACAAUCAUUUUCAAUUGCCCAGCAUUUGGAAUACAGAUGCUUUGUUUCUUCGGUUUUUAAUUUUUUGUUCUUUUUCAUUUACUUGAUACAACUAAUAAGUAAAUUCAUGGCAUUUUCUAUCACCUCUUUUUUUGUUGGGAGUAUUAGUAAAUCAACUCUGUAAUGCUCUGCCUCUUUACCAUAAAAGCUGCAUUUUAAUGGCAUCAGCUUACAGUUAUGUGUGCUAAGUAAAACAAUUCUUUAUUGAGACAUUUUCAUCCUCCAGAAAAUACAUAAAUAAAAGACCAAACCAUCGUUAUUUUGAUUUCAUAACAGCAUCAUCCAUCACUUUCCCAUCACUUUCCUACAAGUUUUUGUUAGGAAAUUGAUGGGUGAAGCAAACACGUAGUUAAAAUAAAAUUAGAAGAAAAUAAAGAACAAGCACAAUAGAGAACACCAAAAAAUUACGUGGUUCGACUUUUAACCUACAUUCACAGGCGAAAACAAAAGUAAAAUAUUUCACUAGCGAUAUGAGGAUUACAAGUAUUAUAAUAUUUUAGCUCACUUCUUAGAACCCCAAUACACUCAAUCUCUCAAUCUCUCACUCACUAAACUCACAAGAGCUUUAUAAUUUUAAGUUCUGAAAAUUACUCAAGCUCUUUCUCACAAAAUUGAAUGCGAAAACGAAAAGGAGGAGCCUCCUUUUAUAGCCAAAAUAGGCUAUUAUUAAUUUAAUAUUUUAUUAUUAUUAUUAUUUUAUUAAUUUUUCUUUUCUUUUCCUUCUUCGCCCGGCAUCUCCUUUUUCUUCUCUCUUUCUUAUUUUCUUUGGGCGGCACCAAAUCCUUCUUCUUUUGUUUUCUUUUCCAACUAAAGAUGGUGUUGACCAUCUAGAUAGCCAAUUUUUUUAACAGCUUUAGAAGGCCGGAGGCUGAAACACAAUCAAUUGAGUUGUUAUUGCAUUUCUUACAGCAUGAGUGCGGGCGUGCGGCAAUUCAAUGGACUUUUUGGCACUUUUGAUGGACGGAGUUAAAUGGUGGGUUUCGGCUUGCAGUCACUUGUGUUUGUUCAAUUUUAUUUUUGUUAAAAUCCAUGAAUAUUAAUUACUACCUUAUUCACUGUUCAGUAAAAAUAAAACAACACCAGAAAAAGAUUUUUGCUAUAUAACAACAGUUUUUUUUUUUUUGUUUUCAAUUGAACACUAUUGUGUUAGAAUAUACUUCCCAGUUAAGGUUGAUAGAAAAAACCAAAUUUCAAUCAGUAUUUGGAUUCUGUCCCAAAACAAGCACUUACUGAUCACAACUUUAACUAACUUAUUUUUCCACCACACAAUUUGCUCAACUUUUAUUUGUACCACACAUUUUAAUUGCCACUAACUUAAGCAACUUGGCUAACAUCCCAGAUUUUUCUUAAGAUAUUUCUACAGAGGAUAGGGCUACCUUACAGAUUCUGUAAGGUACAGCCCUCACGUGAAUAGUAUUUGAUUGUGGGUCCGUGUGGGACCCACCACCAAGUUUGUGAGUCAGCUGUGACUUACCGAAUCUGUAAGUUAGUAAGCUCCUUCUACAGAUAUUUUAACAUUUUAGAUUGUAAAUUACUUUUCAACACUUGAUUUAAUCACUGAUUGUUGACGAUAACGUAGCCGGCAAAUUUGUUUCGUUGUGCUAACCGGACAAGCGAUAAGGACUUCACAAGAGUACAAAACAGAGCCUCGAUCUAAUAAUAUUACUGAACAUAGCAUUUUUGUUUCCUUAUUAAUGGAUUUGUUUCCUUAUUAAUGGAGAGAGGCAGUUCUGUUUUUGCAGUGAUUAAGCGCAUAGAAGAUAUUAAUGGCUUUACUUAUCAUCAUCAACUUCCUUUUGUGUCUCCCCUUCUUCCUAACCUCAAGAAAUAAUACUAAAUUACCACCCGGCCCCUGGGGCCUUCCCUUAAUCGGUAACUUACACCAGUUUGAUGUCUCAAAGCCUACACCAGUUUGAUGUCUCAAAGCCUCAAGUGUCAUUUUGGGAGCUGUCACGGAAAUAUGGCCCCCUCAUGUCCUUGCGUCUUGGUUUUGUGCCAUCCCUAGUAGUUUCCUCAGCAAAAAUGGCUAAAGAGAUAUUAAAAACCCAUGAUCUUCAAUUUUGUAGCAGGCCAGCCUUGGUAGGACAACAAAAGUUAUCUUACAAUGGUCUUGAUUUGGUAUUUUCACCCUAUGAUGAAUAUUGGAGAGAGAUAAGAAAAAUUUGUGUCAUUCAUCUCUUUAACUCUAAUAGGGUACAAAAUUUUCGACCCAUUAGAGAAGAUGAAGUUUCAAGAAUGAUUGAAAAGAUUUCAAAAUCAGUUGCUGCUUCUAAUCCCGUAAACUUAAGUGAGGUAAUGAUGUCUCUUACCAGCACCAUUAUUUGUAGAAUUGGUUUUGGCAAGAGGUACGAUGAAGAUAAAGCAACAAGUGGAAGAAGUAGAUUCCAUGCCAUGCUUAAUGAAACUCAAGCCUUGUUUGUAAGCUUUUUUGUUACAGAUUAUUUUCCUUUCAUGGGCUGGAUUGAUAAGCUCACAGGAAUGAUGCAACGCCUGCAAAAUAACUUCCAAGAAUUCGAUAGAUUCUACCAGGAACUCAUCAACGAGCAUUUGGAUCCAAACAGAACAAAAUCAGAAUUGGCGCAACAGGAGGAUAUAAUUGAUGUUUUACUUCAAAUAAGAAAAGAUCGUGGAUUUAAAGUUGACUUGACUUUGGACCACAUCAAAGCAGUGCUCAUGGUGAAUAAUUUUAUAAAUAGUUAUAUGUAGACUCGUGCUCAGGCGCAGACUUAAAAUUUUGUGCAGAUACCCAAUUUUACAGUCUUGUAAAAUGGUUUAUAAUGCUGUAAAGUGCCUUUGAUGUCCACCUGAGCAUGAUUAAUUUAAUGUAAUUUUAUUUGCUUUUAACUAAUUUACUAUGUAUAUAUGUAUGUUGUUUGCUUUGCAGAACGUACUCGUUGCUGGAACAGACACGAGUGCAGCAACUGUGGUUUGGGCCAUGACUUACCUAAUGAAGAAUCCUAGAGCAAUGAAAAAAGUUCAACAGGAAAUCAGAUUGUUGAUUGGGGCUAACAAAGGCUUUGUAAAUGAAGAUGAUGUUCAAGAACUACAUUAUCUUAAAGCGGUAGUGAAGGAGACAAUGAGAUUGCAACCCACAGUGCCAUUACUAGUCCCAAGAGAAACAAUUGAAAAGUGCGUAAUAGAUGGGUAUGAAAUACCAGCUAAAACACUUGUCUUUGUAAAUGCAUGGGCGAUAGGAAGAGACCCUGAAGCUUGGGAGAAUCCGGAGGAAUUUUAUCCGGAGAGAUUCGU
rnacentral:lncRNA from 1 species